rnacentral:lncRNA from 1 species
CAGAAGUCCUCAAAUCAAGUCAGAAUCCAGAUACAAGGGAAAGAUAUUUAGCUGGAGCGAGGUGGACACUCCUCAGCUCAGUUCUAUCACAAAAGUCCAGGCUGCUGAAAUUAAACUCUGAUGCCAUUCAUGCCGACAUCCAAUCAGGAGAGAGAGCAGAAGUUCAGAGAUGCCUCCAAGUUGCCAACAAGAGUGGCUACCAUACAUCAAGGACCCUAAAGCCGUGAUAGAAGGGGAAGAACAACUUUAGAGAGGAUGCCCAGUUGGUAAGAAUCAACUGUUUAUGAUGUUUUAGUCACUCGAUGGAUUUCAUUGGCUAAAACGAAGAAAUGCUCCGCCUCUUUGCAAAUAUGUGUGAAGGGGGGAAGUGUCUAAACUUCUAUGUCUGAUGGCAUUUGACCCUAUUGCUUUUAGCCUUCUGGCUAAAUAUCUAUAUAUACACAGGUAUAUGUGUAUAUUUUAUAUAGUUGCUCUCCGUUGGUUGAUAUCAAGGAGAGUUGAAGGAAAUGAAUUUUGAAACUUCACGGUGUGCCACCCUACAGUACCGCCCCGACCCUUACAUCCAGCGGUGAGUUUAAAUGUGACAUAACUUCUAUCAAAACUUAAUUUCAGUGCCUUGUGUAUUAUGAGUGUUUUUGCUGUGUACAAAGAGGAACCCCUCCUUGUUUGGUCUGCACAGUGAUAUUAUUUUGGAUUUUAUGUAGACUUAAAAUGAUCUGUGGGCAUCUUUUCUAAAUUUGUCAUUUAAUUUUAUCUCCAGAUCUACAAAAUGACAAAGUUUGAAAACAAUUCAUUUUUUUUUUAAAUUAUCAUACCACUUUAAGAUGUUUAAAAUAUAUUAUUUGCCUUGCCCAGCACCCACCCACUCAAUAAAAUGAAAUUGAACUGGACAGGGAUAUAAUAAUCUAUGAAUAAUCUUCAAGUCAAAAUAAAUACCGACUAGUUUUGAUUUAUAUAUUAAAAAUAGAUAAGUAGCCAUUGUUAUACAAAACAGACUGUGGCUUGUCAUUUUAGCUUUAAGUAAUAUUUUCUUUUUGAUUUGUUUCAUAACAAACAUCAUCUUUCAACAUAUUUGACUUUAAAAACCUGUAAUUAUACUGAAUCUUAUUUGUGUUUGUACUAAGAAAUACUUGCCUAGUACUGAGAGGAAAUAUUAUUGAUAGUGCACAAUUGUGUGUGUGUGUGUGUGUGUAAGAGAGAGAGAAAGGGAGAGGGAGAGAGUGUGUUUCAAAUUAGAGUUUGCUAUUUUUAAACUGGUAAAUGAAAUCUGAACAGUGUUUUUCCAGUCAUAAAGUUAUGGGAAAUAUUCAAGUCAUAUGGAGCGGUGUGAUGUUGUUAAUUUAACGGCAUGAGAUUUGAUAUUGGAAUUUCGUACUUUAUUUUAAAGACGAAUGAGAGAGAUCCUCUGAGUGUUAAAAACGGCAGGGUUAGAAAGGGGUUAACUUGACAUUUGCCACCUGUGCCUAUUGGAGCCUCUACUAGAAGUGGCAUCGGAUGGCUCUGGACAGGACUUAGUUACAGCAUAUUAUGAAAGAUGUGUGAUCUGCUUUCAUUAAUAUGAUGUGCCACCAUGUAGAACACUGAUAUGGACUAUGCAGACUCUUGUUUCUCUUCUUGUGAGGUUUCUAUUGGGAUGUGUGAGAAAGUGGAAGAGGCAGAAUAAGGCAGAAAGGGAAUGGCACAAACAGGUAGAAGAGGGAGAAAAAGGAAAAAGUAGCUGGUCUCCCAGACUCAAUUGGGAAAUGUGAAUGGUGACUUGAUUCCUGCCUUGCUCUCUGUGGGCCACAAACAGAAUGACAGCACAAACGAGUCAUCCUGCAGUUAAUCUUCUGAGAUGACUUGAACAUUAGAUUUAGUUACAGAUGGGUUGAUUAAAAAGGCAAAACACCCCAAAUUUUCUAUUUCUCAGAGAUUUUUUUUCAUCUCAAAAUUAUCAACUUCGUUGUUCAUCUUUCAAAAUAAUAUUUCUAAGAACAUAAUUUUGAUGAAACAUCAACCCCUUAAUGUUUCCCUUGAAGACAUCUUUCCUAAAGUAGGUACCUGGACCUCUAGCAGCUUUAGAAGACAUUUUCUUCUACUGACUAGCACCUCACACUUCAAAUAUGCACAUGUCUUUAUAGAGACAUUUCUAAUGACUAUCAAGAGAAGCUGAUAAAUAUAAAUAAAUAAGGAAAUGGCUUUUCAUAUUGCCCUGACAAUUUGUGAGUUCAUGGAAUAAAUAUUGUCUCAGUUUUUAACUUACUAUAAAAUUCUAAGGAGUAAUAGAAUUUUAAAAUACUUUUAAAUUUUCCUAGAAUACCCUGAGCUUCCAUCAGGGUGAGUGUCAUUUUGGGGGAAAGGUCAUGAACAUGUGGCAAUCUCUGAGAUUGCAGUUCAGAAUGGUCAGGGAACAUUUAUUUGCAUAAUAAAUUGUUUUAGGCUAAAAUAUGUACUUCUCAUUUGUGAUGAAAACUGUAUCAUCAAAUAAAGAGGAGAAAUAUUUGUUACUAAGCAUCUGCUGUGUGUAAGGCACUGCAAGUACAAGACGAAUAAGAUGUGAAUAAAGUUCAUUUAUGUAACUCUAAAGAAUUAUAUGAUUAAUGUAAGAUAUUUUCUUCAAUUAAACUAUUUGUCAAAAAGUUUAAGGACUGAAUUGUUACUAUUAUCCAUCCUCGUUGAAUAAAUAAUGAAUAAAUGAAAUAUCACUAUAAAAAAUUUAGAUACUAUGUAUUGUCAAAGUAAGUAUCAUACAAUAUUCUCUUUGAUGCUCAAUAAGUGAAUGGUUUUGAGUUGGUUUUUAUAAGCAGACAACCCUUGCAGUUCUCAGUUUACAAAAUCUAUUUUAAGAAAGACCAAAUUUAAUCAUUCCAUAAUCAUAGUCAUCUACAUACUUAAAUUUGUCUUUCCUGACCUUGUCUUUAGAAAGAAGUCAUGAAAGAAUUUCUUAAAAAAAGAAAGGGCAGGAUAUCUUGAUAUUCUUAACUACAAGCUACCUUAAUUCAUGAAUUUCCUUUUAUCACAAUAUAGAAUAAAAACAUGUUAUUAUUGUUAAUUAUGGAAUAUUAAUGCCAUUUUAAAAAGCCAGUUUUAAUACACAUUUAGUCUAAUGUGUAUGCUAAUCAUUCUCUCAGUUAAAUGAGAUUUCCCCCUGUUUUUUUUUUUUUUUGCUUUCCACCUGAACAUAUUAAUAUAUAUUAUACAUUUAAUUAUGCUCAGGAUUGAGUCCAUUUACUUAGGUCUUUGCAAAACCUUUUCUGAAAAUCAAAAAGGCAAUCAAAACUAUGGUGAUUAUUAGAUUUUCUUUUGGUGAUAUGGCUAAAAUCAUACAUGUUAUCAUACUAUUACUAACUUAAUUUUCACAAUAAUAUCAAAACAUGGAUGAAAUUAUGCAAUAUCAAUAAGUAAGCAGUGGAUUAGUUAACAUUUCAUUAUACACAAAAACUGUACACAGUGAGUUCGUUUUGUUUUAUUUUGUUUAAUUAUGUGAAUUCUCAAAAUGAAUCUAAAAUUCAGCAGAUUUUGGAGCUAAAUCUUUAUUAAUUUACUUUUGGGGAUAUUAUUUUGAUCUUUUGGUUUUUGCAAACUUGAGUUUUUAGAAUUGCCAUCUAGUUUGUGAAAACAGAUUAUUUGAACCAAGUAUUUCUGAGACAGAUUAAAUUCUUUCCAAAUAUCUUUUCAAAAACUAAAUCAGUUGAAAUGACAAGGAUGAAUUAAGAUUAAACUUUGAAAUAAUGUGAUAACCAAGGUAUAAGAAUAAAGUAAAAGGAAACACCAUUACAAUGUGAUCCACUCGUAAAAUACUGUGUAUUAUUUUUCACAGUCACCCUUUACUUAAAAGCAGCAACAAACUGAUAAAGUACUCUACUACGAGUUAGAAGAGUUUCUUGUGUGAAUUACUUAUUUGCUGUGAAUUUUGUGCUUUGCUAAAGGCCAACUUGAUUAAUUGUGUUUCUAAAUGCAUCCUGAAAGGCAGCAAGGUGACAAUGAACUUGUAGUUUCUAAUAAAAUAACAUGCAGGCAGAUGUAGCUCUGUGUUAGGUGUCCUCCACACACCCUCCACAUCUACCUGCAUCCUUCUUUGUAUUCUGUGUCCAGCAAGCUGACAUCUAAAGAUUGCAUUAAACAUUUCCUCUUUCCUCCCAUUUCCUGUUGAGUUCAACAAAUGGCAAAGUGAAGUUGGGAUACCCGUUUCCCUGAAUGACUUCCUAUUGGGUUAUCAUUAAAGACUGUAGAUCCUGUCAAGGGGCCUUGUCACAGUUCGGGUCUCUUGACUUGGAGCAACUACUCCCCACCUCCCUUUCCUACGAUCUCAGGGUCAGUAGCCGUUUCUAGCCACUGAUAAUUCUAGAGAGCCACGUCAUAUCCCUUACCUUUAAUAUCCUUUUUAUCUGCCAGGAUCAUUGCAAGACAAACAAAAAGUUUGCCCUUAUAGUGGUUUAUGUGCUUUAUUAAGACUUUCUAAAUAAUUGAGAUAGCAUAUACUAAUAUAAUUUCUAAUGUGAGAUAAAUGUUAAAUUCCUCUAGUUCAAUGUGAAAACCAGGUAUUAGCUAUCACCACGAUGACCAGAUUUCUCUAUCUGAAGGGAAGAAAUGAGCCACCAUGUACAAUCUGUAUGUUUUUAUUUAGUACUUGAAAUGAACCAAGGCUGAGCACAGGGAGAAUAUUAGAUAUUUCUUUAAGUAAAUGAAUAUUGUUAUGCUCUAUCUGCAGGGUCUAACAUAUCCAUUAGUCUUAAGCAGAAAAAAAAAAGUGCUUCAAACUUCAAUUUGCACAAGAAAAAAUAUUUCAAAAUACCUUUAUGACCAACUGUAGUUAACUAAUACUACAAUGCUGUUCUAAUCCUGUGUGCUACUGCCAAGCUUCACAUGCAUUUUAUCUCAGAGAAAAAGGGAUGGUAGCAGAGUAUGCACAGAACUUGUCAAAGAUCUGGAUUGUGGUCUUAACUCCACUAUUAACUGGUUAGAUGACCUUCAUGAAAUCACUUAAGCUAUCUAAACCAAAGUUGCUCAUAAGUUAAGUAGGGAUAAUCUCUGAUCUGCCAUUCAUAACAAGGACCUCGAGAAUUAAACAAACCAAUGCAACUAAGAAAUGCAACUAUGAAAACCUUAGUGUAUUGCUCAGUUCUAUUGUGUGCUAAUGGGCUGAGGCUUCAUUCCCACAAAUAAUUGUUACCUCAUAUAUGCAUAUCUUGAGUUCCACUAUUCUGUUUAUCAACUUUAAAUUAAGAACAAAGAUCAUCUUGGCUUGUCUCUCUUAAUUCUUAAACUUCAGAAUUAGGGACUCUGAAUCCCAGAGGAGUUCAGUGGGUUGCCAAAGAUCGCCCAGCAACAUACUACCAAAAUUGGGGUAAGAAUUUAAAUCUCUUGACUCCAGUUUAAUAUUAUGUUUACCAUAGAACAGAAAAUGUUAUUUGAUUUGUGUAAAAUUUUACAGUGAAAAAAAAAAAUGUUUCCCUGUGGAUUACAUAACUGAUGUACCUGGGAUGUGAGCAAGUGUGGUGUGCAGAAUAAUGGCCUAGAAAGACAGCGUCAUUCUAAUGCCAGGAACAAUAUAGCAGAGGAGAAUUAAGGCUAUUGAUGAAAUUUAGGCUAAAAAUCAACUGACAUUAGAAUAGGUAGAUUAAUUUAGAUUAUUCCUGUGGGCAUAGUACAGUCAUAAGAUUCUUUAAAAGUAGGAGGUAGAAGAAUCCAAGCUAUGUGGUGUGAAAAAGAGACUUUACAAACAAUUGUUGGCUUUUGGAGAUGGAAGGGAUUCAUGAGCCAAGAAAGAUGAGCAGCCUCUAAAAGUUAGAAAAGGCAAAGAAACAGAUUUCCCCCUAUAUCCUCCAAAGGGAACACAGCCCUGUUAUCCUCAUGAUUUCAGCUCAUUGAACCUGCAUAGUCUUCUGACCUGCAGAGCUGUAAGAUAAUACAUUAGUGUCGGUUUAAACCAUUAAGUUUGUAAUAAUCUUGUUAUUUCGGCCAAAGGAGGCUAAUCUACCAACUUCAUAGAUAGAGAAACCAAAACUAGGCCUUGUUGGUUUAAUAAACUACUUCAUGAAUUUAUUACUAUUUUUAUGGUGUGACCUGGGGAAGAUUGAAAAUACAAAUAAGAUACAUUCCUAGACUUCAGGAAAUCCAAAGUAAAAUUACCUGUGUAGAACUAAAUCAAAAUGCAAGGAAGUUAGGAGGACUCCAGAGAAGCCAUCUGAGGAUAGCAGGUGCAAGCACCUGCUGUCCAAGCAGCAAAUUGGAAGAGUGACUUUUGUUAGUAAAUUUUGUUAAAGCUCUUCAAACUGUGUUGUGUGGAGAUAUUAUAUUUGACUGUUUGACGAUACCUCUAAUAUUUGGGAGCCCAAAUUUUGAUUUGGGAAGCAUAGGGAUACACUUCUGAUGUGGUCAGGUAUGAAGACAGAUGUUAUAUCAAGUCUUUGAGACAAUGAUUUCAUAAAUUAUGUUGGAGCCUUGGAAUUACACUGCAAAUAAACACACAAAAAAUUUUGAUUGGAGUAACUAUCAGACCACACUUGGAGAAAGAACUCCAGUCCUUCUUAUGCUGUAAGAUUUUCUCUCAAUUUUAGUUUGAGAUUGAUGUCUUCCUCCAAGAAAAUGGAGAUCAAGGGAAGAAAUGCAAAAUCAGUGUUUUAAGCAGGUACUCUGGAUGAGUGCUUGUUUGUACACCCAAUUUUGAAAACCACUACCUACACUGAGACAGGCUCCCAGGCCUCAACAGAAGCUCAUAAAAAGGUACCUGGAGAUAAUGUAUAACAGAGACACAUGUCUUCUCAAAGCGAGACUUCAUGUUCUCACUUCACUUAAAAGCCAAAUGGGUUGUCAGAUUAAAGUGGCAAUUUUCAAUCUCUAUUUCAGGACAAGAAAGUCAAGUUUCUGAUUAGCUGUUUUGAAGCUCAAAUUUGUCCUGACAGGGUUUCUAUCUCCUUUAAAGAACUCACGAAGGACUAGUCCUCAAGCAACAAGUGAUGGAUGGAUAAAGCACUGUAAUUAUGAUCAAAGUCCAAAGUCUCCAUUCUAUGUAAUUAUGCACUUCCCAGCCUCUGAAAGUCACUUUGUUCCAUUUAAGAUAGGAUGAGAAAUGGGCAUGAGUGAUGUGUAUUUAUUGGUUAGUCAGGGUUUUAGAAAUGACAGUUAUUAACAUUUCUUUUUUUCCUUAAGCCAUAAUAUUUGGGAGAUAAUUUAAAUGGAGAAAAUUAAUUGUCACUCCAUUCUAAUCCUUAUUCUUAUUGUCUGCUUUCCAUUCUCCACUUAUAUCUGACUCUCUUAUUAUGAAUUAGACUCUUUGAAGAAUAGAAUGAAAUGAUUAAGGUUAACAGCAGAAAUGCAAGGGCUCCAAAUCUCUUGCUACUUUCAAAUUCCCAUUAUCUUUUCCUUUUGUUUCAAAUGAGCAAGCAUAAUCUGUCACGUUGGACAGCAAACACCUAUUCUCAAAUUCCAUUAACUUAGGCAGUUUCUCAUAAUUAAGGGUAAAACCAGCCUCAUAAUAAUAUUAAGACUGAGAAGUCUUUGGUGUCAAAAGACAGAAUGAAAGCUGGUGUGAUAAUUUAAUCAGCCACAUGCUUACCUAGAGUAGCUUCAUAAUGUAAGCUUUUUCUUUACUAUAGAUGUUGGCAUAAAUUGGAAUAAAUAACAACACAUACAAAUUUAUGACAGGAAGAACACUUUGAUAGAGACUCUUGCUUUUGAGGUUAUGUAGAUUAAUCUCUCAAAUUUAUUGAUUAUAUUUAACAUAACUACCUGGAACAUCCUGACAUUUCAUUGAGGUAGUCAUUAUUUAAAGCUUCCUUAAAAAUAUCAAACUUUAAAUAUUUUAUUUUAAAUUAAUAAUUAGAUUUUUUCCUUUUUAAUAUUUUUCUUUUUUAUAUUUUUCUUUUUUUGCAGUUUAUUUUUUUAUUGGUUGUUCAAAACAUUACAAAGCUCUUGACAUAUCAUAUUUCAUACAUUAGAUUCAAGUGGGUUAUGAACUCCCAUUUUUACCCCAAAUACAGAUUGCAGAAUCACAUCAGUUACACAUCCACAUUUUUACAUAAUGCCAUAUUAGUAACUGUUGUAUUCUGCUACCUUUCCUAUCCUCUACUGUCGCCCCUCCCCUCCCCUCCCAUCUUCUCUCUCUACCCCAUCUACUGUAAUUCAUUUCUCUCCUUGUUUUUUUUCCCCAUUCCCCUCACAACCUCUUAUAUGUAAUUUUGUAUAACAGUGAGGGUCUCCUUCCAUUUCCAUGCAAUUUCCCUUUUCUCUCCCUUUCCCUCCCACCUCAUGUCUCUGUUUAAUGUUAAUCUUUUCCUCCUGCUCUUCCUCCCUGCUCUGUUCUUAGUUGCUCUCAUUAUAUCAAAGAAGACAUUUGGCACUUGUUUUUUAGGGAUUGGCUAGCUUCACUUAGCAUAAUCUGCUCUAAUGCCAUCCAUUUCCCUGCAAAUUCCAUGAUUUUGUCAUUUUUUAGUGCUGCGUAAUACUCCACUGUGUAUAAAUGCCACUUUUUUUUUUUUAUCCAUUCAUCUAUUGAAGGGCAACUGGGUUGGUUCCACAGUCUUGCUAUUGUGAAUUGUGCUGCUAUGAACAUCGAUGUGGCAGUAUCCCUGUAGUACGCUCUUUUAAGGUCUUCAGGGAAUAGUNUUUGCAUUUCUCUGACUGCUAGAGAUGGUGAGCAUUUUUUCAUGUACUUGUUUCUGGCUCAGUUAAACUUCUAUUUUUAUGCUUGAAUUUAAUGGCAUCAUUUACUUCUUAACUACAUAAAUAAUUAGAGUAUAUUCAUUAGAGCUUUCAGUGAGGAAACCUGCUUUCUUCAAAUUUUUCCAUAAUACUGCAUCUGCCUGUAAAUAAAGAAUGCUAAUAAGAUGUAUGGUUACAUUUUAUUGUUCUUUUUUGAAUACUUUUGUCAUCUCGGACAAUGAAUGAAGUUUCUAGUUGACAGGAUUUUUCCAACAAAAUUAUGAGCAAUUUAAAAAGUUCUAGUUACAAUGAGCUUUUUCUAGCUAUUUAAUUGAUGCUAUCUGAUAUGAUAAAUCUUUGUACCUGCCUAAGCUGUGUUUUAGUUUUCUGUAGCGGCUAAUGUGACUUUGAUUGAAUUCCUCACUAAAACUUGACAAUUAAUGCAUGACUUAUUUUCUAGUUAGUGUGGAGUGCACACGGGUCACCCUAGAUGUUCGCACUGGAAGUUUCUGCAGUUUCAUAUUGAGGGAUGGGGAGGGAUGGGGCUCCCCCUCUCAGGGGUUGCCCCUCCUCCAGGGGGAUGGGGCUCCCUCUCAUAUAUGCUCAUUGAGAGAAAGCAUGCAGUGUCACCCUCCCUAUGACUGCUAUGCUGGCCUUUCUAUUGGACAUGUGAGGUCCCAGCUUAUCUUCCUACAUAAAACUCAAAUACAGUUUUACCUCUAAGUCUUAAAUCCUUCAGAGGAAUGAAUUAAAAAGCUUGUUUUUUCUUAAUACUGUCUAUUCUCCCUGCCUUCCUUUUUAUUUUUUUUUCUUUCUUUCCCUGAAGCUCUGCAUUUCUUUGCUUCUUGGUAAUACAGAAGAUUCCUGAAAAAGCUCAAAAUAUCACAGAGUACUUUAAAAAAAAAUCAGAUCAAGCUCUGCUUUGCAAAAUCGAAAUUGCCCCAAUUUGGAAAACAAAGUAAGAUAUUGUAACAAUAAUGUACCAAAAAUAAAAACACAUAAACUAGGUAUGGUGGCAUAAAGAUGUAAUUCCAGCUUCUCUGGAGACUGAGGCAGAAAGAUUGCAAGUAUCUGAGACCAGUCCAGGCAAAUCUUAAAAAAUAAAAAUUAAAUAGAAGAGCUGGUAUGUAUUUUAGUGGUAGAGUGCUUGCCUAGCAUGUGAAGGCCCUGGAUUCAAACACAAGUACCACAAAAAAUAAAAUCAGAUAAAAUUUUAAAAAUAAAUAAAGCAUAUAUACGGCUGAUAAAAAUAUUUGCCUUUUUGAUGUUACAGGAAUGAAUUUUUUUAGUACCUGAGUUAUUAAGUAAAUUUUAAAGAAGAUUUGUAUGCUAGUUAAUAUUUAAAUAAACUGAUAAACAUUGUCUGGUUGGUGAGACAAGGGGAGAUAGGAAAAGGGAAACGAGAAUGCCCUGAAUAGUUCAACUUCACUGUAGAGUACAAACUAUUCAAUAAUGUUAAACAAAGAUUUAUGAAGUGAUAGAUGGUGAAUAUAGGAUAAGAAAUUUAAAAAUUUGAAGUUUUUAAGUAUUUGUUUUUUCUGUAGUAAAUCUGGUUCCAGAAUUGUCUAACUUAAGUACGAGGUAAAGGAAGAUCUUUGAAUCCCAGGUAGAAACAUAAGUAUCAGAGAACUUUAUGUAUUCUUAGAUGAAACAUAUUCAUAUAAAAAUCUGCAUAACUCAAUAUUAAUUAUAUCUCAAUAUGUAUUUUUAGACAAAUUAUAUAUUUUAAUAAUCAUGGAAGCCAAUGAGGAAAAAUCUAGUACAACAGUUGUUCAUGUCUCCUUCUAGGUCCAAAAAUUUUUUAUACAGAGAAGUUAUAAUCAUAAACAAUUUCAUUGUAUUAUUCAUUAUAAAAAUAUUAUAAUAAGCAUUUUCCAGUUGUCAUGUGUGUUUACAUUUAUCAUACCAGUUACAGCAUUAGGAUCUUAUCAUAUCAAUGCAACUUCAUAUAUUUAUUAUUUUCUUUAUUUAUAACAUUAUAGUUGGUUGCAAUUUUUAUUAUACAUUAAAAAUGUUAUGCAAUCAACUUUCUUUUCAGUUAUUUCCUUGCUUGUACAAAGGAACAAAUAUUUGAGGAAAGUAACUCAAGCAUGUUCAACCCAUACAAGUUGCUAUGCAAUUUACCUGAGAAUAUAAUGUUUUAGCUAAUUAGUAGCUAUGGUUUGCAGAUGAGGGAAAUGGUGCUCAGAGAUAACUAACUUUACCAAGGUGACCUAACUAGUAAGUGGAUAACUUCCUUGUACUUUCAUUCUCACCCGAGCUGGGCCUAUCUGAUCCAAAAUUUUGCUGCUUCCUCUGUGACAUGCUGUUGCCUGAGAAGGGACAGCAUUGGCCAGUAAAAGGGUAAAGGCUUGAAAGUUACUGGAAAAUAUUACUAUUUAAAUGAGUGAGCCCAUAUAUUUUGGCAAAGAGUUCCAGUUUGGAUAUUAUUAUUUUUAAAUUUUGUUAAUUUAAUAAAAGUAAAAUGACAUAUGGUUCAAAUUAUUUUUUUUAAUUAACUAGGGCAACUACAAAAACCACAAUUACUAAUUUUAAAAUACCUCAAUUUGGGAUUCUAUAUUUUUAGAAAGUGGGGAUGAGAACUGAAUAGCUAAAAAUCUGGUGUUUUUUGAAUUCUGAAUUUGUGCUCUGCAUAGACUUUUCACAUUUACUCCUUAAACCAUUUCAGGUGUGGUUACUGGUAUUAUCUGCUGCUAAUCAAGAGACAGGAUGUGUGGUGGGGCCAGUAUUCCUAUUUUCACUCUAGUGAAUGUUAGAGCUCCUAGCUUAAUCUAUUUUCUCAUGUAUAGAUGAGCACAAUAAUAGUAUUACCUAACUUAUCAGGUUGCUUUGAGAAUUAAAUGAGUUAAUUUUAGAAAUAGCUAAAGAAAAUAUCUAAAUAUUAAACCUUAUAUAUACAUGUUAGCACUUAUUAUCCUAAUUGUAUUGAUGAAGAAAUUGAGGCACCCAGAGGCUAUGAAAUUUACCCAGGGUAGAAUAGCUAGACACUGGUGAUUUCUCCUACAUUUUCAUUUUUAUGGUCAGUGCCUUAACUCUUCGGAAAUUGUAGGUAGGAAUGAUUUUUAUGAUUUUGAAGCAUAACACUUAUGACAGGGACCCUAAAAAUGAAUAAUUUAACGUUCUAGAGAAAUGGUCUGAAUCUAAAGAAGGCAUGUGUUUCCAACCAUCAUUCUUACCAUUUAUGUAACCCCAGAGAGGAUCGUUUUUUUUCUACCUGGAAAGUAAACAUUUCCAAUAGAAUAAUGAGCACCUUACUUCAACCUUGAGGACUUGAAUUUGCUCCGUUUGGAAACUUAGGGAUGAUUAUUUCAAAAGCUACCCUUUAACUAUUUUUUUUUACUUAAUAUUUUUGCUCCCUCACCCGUAGAUAUUUCACAAAUCUCCUUUACUCAUCUCUAUUAUUGAAAUUUGCUGACUUACAUAGAGCCCUUUGAGCCUACUCUCAACCCUUUUGGAUUAAUCCUACCUACAUUUUUAUUCUGUGUCCCCUUUAUUGAUGUGAUAUCUUUCCCCCAGUGUGGUAAUUUGACUCACCACCAGUUUGAACAAACUUUUCUUUCCAUCUUCAUCCUUUUUCUCCUUUCAUUUGUUUGCCUGCCCAUCUUAUCUGGAAGCUGUUUUCUCUCUGAAAAUACUUGUUGCCCCUCACCCCUCAGUAGAGGCCAGGACUUCCACAAGUUCUCCUUUUCAUUCAGGAGGCCAAGAGAAGAAAUGAGCAUAUUUCUUGGCCAAUGCUACUGUUUUCAGAUCAUCCUUUACCUCUUCACUCAACAAUCUCAUGUUCUCUGAGAUCUCUGCAUCCGAAUGAUUCUCUGAACUUGAUGACAGUGUGCUGACCUUUGGAAAACCCUCCUCUGUUAGGUGGCUAAGUUUCCCUCUUUAUUGUGGCUUCUGCUGACUCUGGGAACUUCAUUUUCCUUUGACAACCAUCCCAUAAUAUUUUCUACAGUUCUACUGCUUCUUCGGCUUGAGGAGCUCCCAUUUCCUCUCCAUUUGAGUCACCAACCCACACAACCUUCCAGUCCUAGAUCUCACCAUCGUACACUUUCCUGUCUAUCACUAUCUCUUGUACCUUCCAUCUCUCUCCCAUCUUUCAUCAACCCUCUUCCCUCUGAACACCUUCACCAGCUUCCUGGUGGAAAUUCCGUCUCUUUUUCAACACUUAUCUUAAUUUAUAUAUUUCUAUUUAUAAUGUAUUUUGUGCAUAUUUACUUAUAAGUUUUUUUUCACCUUUACCACUCAAAAUGAAACAUAGGGAAUAAUGCAAAACUGGGGGCCCACAUCAAUACUACUAAGUGAGAAUCUGUAUUUUAACAAGGAAAUGCAAAGUGAAUCGUGAAUUUGAUCAGCUUGAGAAAUAGCACUAGAACCUAUUUGUUCCCAAGGUGGGAUCCUAAGAACAUAGCAGAGGGGGCACCCAGGAAUAUGUUAGAAAUGCAAAUUCUCAGACCCAUCUGAGUCCUGAUGAAUCAAAAAUCUGAAGCUACGGCCUAGCCAAUUCGUAUUUUGACAUACACCCUGAAGUUUGAGGCAUCCUAAAGUUUGAGAAAUUGACUAUAUAUCUGAUAAUGGAAUGGUUUGUAUGGAUAUUUCCUGUAGGCAUAGAGGAGGUAUUUUAUAGAUUCAUAGUAAUCAAAUAGGUGUAUAGAUGAACAAAUGGAUCAAUGAAGGUUUCAUUUAUCUUAACAAAUAAGGUGUUCUUUUCUUUCUCUAGUAACCAUAGAACUUUACUUAUGUUUCUUUUAUGGUAUGUAUAUUUACUGACUUCAGUGACUAAUUGAUUAAUUAUUUCUGAAUAUAUACUUAUCUCACAUUGAGCCUUUCACAUAUAAGUAGGAAAUCAUUAAGUGUUCAAUUCGAUUGAAAUGAUUUUAUUUUAUAAUUUUCUACACACACACACACACACACACAUACACACACACGUUUUUGUCCCAUGACACAUUGUUUCAGAUCAAGUGAAACACCAAAUAGAAAAUAUAAGAAAGGUGGGAACCUGAGCUGGAAUCUGUCUCCUCAUAACAACAGUGAAAGUGAGGAAGUGAAUGAAUCUGGAUUGAGUUAGAGAUGGUUUCUAGAAAUGCUUGGUCUCCAUGUUGAAACUUGUAAGCAGUGUGAUGCAGCAUUGUUGGAAGCUUAGGCCACCUUGGGUCAUGAAUGGGCUUCCUCAUCACAAAGCAGUGCCAAGAUUGAUUGCCAUUGACCAAAGAAUGUCAUUUAGUUUCAACCGGUUGAAACCCUGACAUGAAAUUGCCAGGCUAGAUAACCAAUUUUACUCUUGUUAUCAACCUCUCAUGGAUCCCUUUCAUUGAAUAGGAACAGAAUGUAAAUAAUAUUUUCUAGCAUUUUGUCAGCUUCAAUAACUCCCAACAGCCUGGCAAUAGAUACCAAUAUUCUUUAUCAGUUUGCAGGUGGAUAGUGUGUAACACACAAUGAGGAGAGUCAAUAUAACCUGGACUGUAACAUAAAUUUAAAAAGGAGCCCAUGAGCCCCUUCAGUUUAGGAUUUUAGGCUAUGAUUUUACUUUUGUUCUAGACUUUUUCUUACUGACUCCUGCCCUAAAAAGUAGGUCUUUAUUGAAGUACCAAAAGUUUCUAAAAAUGUGAAUAUCUGAGCUAAGACAAUAACUUGCUCUUUAUUUAAAUUCCCUGGUGAAGAGUUCACUAAAAUAAUUAAAUAUGGUUUGUAUGUUAGCAGCCUUUCCUAGAGAUGGCCCAACUCACAGAUUUUCUUGUGCUGCCCUCUUUAGUCACACAGUACAAUCUAGAUUGUCAAUAGUGGAUCAAUUUAUUGCACUUUCUUGUAAAACAAGUUCUGUGUGGCUUGUUCUUAGGGGUUAUGGUGUCUUUUAGGAAGCCUGUCAUCCUUUUUUAUUCUUUUUCUUUUCAUUUAUCUCUUUCUGCAAGGUACAGUGGCUUGGUCAUUGUAUAUUUUUCAGUCAUCCUAGAAAGGCUUAUGCUAAGUAAAGGAUUAUUGUUAAAAAUUUUAAAAAAGAAAGAAAAGAAAAAGAGGCCUCAAAUUUGCAUCUCUUUACUUGCUAUAGUGCUUUCUAAGAAUAGAAAAGUCAGUAAUAAAAUCAUGAGUUUCAAAACAAGUGGACUAAAAAGUAUGCAUUUAUUUUUAAAGAUACUGCUAUUUAUUUCAUUUGCCUCGGAAAUAUAGCUUCUUUGAAAAAAAUAGGUAUUAGGGCACCUUAUGAGUUCAAUCAGAUUUCAUAAUUAGGAAGCUCAAACAUUUUUUCAUGGAAAGAGUAAACAAACUAAUUUCAAAAAAUUUUUUACAGUAAUAUCUGUUAAAAGUAUGUUACUGUAAUCACCUACUCCAACAGAAAUGUGUGUUAGCCAGUUUUUUCAUCACUGUGACCAAGACCUCAUAAGAAUAAUAUAGAGGAGGAAAAGUUUAUUUUGGCUCCUGGUUUUGGAGGUUUAGUCUAUGAUUGGAUGAUUGCACAGCUCUGGCCUAGGAUGGGGCAGAAUAUCAUAGUAGAAGGAAUCAUGGCCAAGAAGCAUAGAGAGAACUCCACUCACCAAGGACAACAUAUGAAUCCCAAAAGCACACACUCAGUGACCUACUUCCUCCAGCUCCACCCUACCUGCCUAUAAUUACCACCCAGUUAAUCCAUCAGUGGUUUAAUCCAUUGAUUGUGUUACACUUUUCACAAGCUAAUCAUUUUACCCCUGAAUAUUCUUAUAUCAUCUCAUACAGGAGCUUUGCAGGAGCACUUCAUAUUCAAACCAUAACAGAGUAUAAAGUUUCCUUAAUUUUAGGAAAAAUAUAUUUAUAAUAUAAUUUCAGAUUUUUAAGAAAACCUAAGAGAAAGAAAAGGAGUGUUAGUGUUCUAUGAUUCAGAUAGCCCAUGUGUUACAGUCUGAGACCCCAAUUUGGUGCUUUUGGGAGGUGGUGAAAAUUUUUUAGAGGUACAGCCUAGUGGCAGGUCUUCAGGUCAUUUGGGGUGUGCCCUUGAAGUGGCUUAUGGAACUCUAAUGCUGAUCUCAUCUUCUUUUGCUCCCUGGCCAUGAGGUAAGCAGGUUUGCUCCACAAUAUGCUGUUUCACCACAGGUCCCCAAAUCAACAGUUCCAGUUUUGAACUGGAACUUCCAAAACUAUGAGCCAGAAUAAACCAUUUAAAAAUUGUUUAAAAUUUUUAUAUUAAAAUAAAAUCUUUAUAAAUCUUUAAAAAUUGAUUGUCUCAGGUAUGUGUUAUAGUGAAGGAAAGCUGACUAACAUAGAGGAGAGGAAGAGGAAAAAGAGGGGAAAGGAAAGCUUUUGAAUGACACUGUGUGCUCAAAUAUCAUGACACCAAAUUUUAUUGAACUUGACAUCCCCUUCUUUUCCAGAGCCCCUCUUCCUUAUCAUGCUAUCUCUUCCAUAUAACACACAUGACCUUUCAAAAUACUAGUUAUUUAUUUCUUUAUUAAGUUUAUUUUUUUUCCUAUCUGUCUCUUUACACUGGAAAGUAAACACCAUGAGGCAGAGUAUUUGUAUACUUUGUGCCAGUUUAAUCCCAAGUACCCAGAACGGAGCCUGUCAUACACCGGUAUUCAACACAAAUAACUGUUGGCUGAAUGAAUUAUGGAGAAAUAGUUAUUAAAAUUUGUAGUCACCAUUGAUUAUAUUGCUUUGCCUGAUGAUUAAGAUAUAAUUUUUUUAAACGUUACUGAAAAACAAUCUUAUUGAGAAAGAAAAAGUGCUUUCCCUCUCACCAUAAAAAUGAGGCUUAAAAGGGUUGGGUAGUACUCCUAAGUCUUACAGUGGUUAGUAGGAGAAACAAUACUAAUAGUUAAUAUGUCAUCUUUAAAAUAUCAUGUUCUCACUAAGUCUUCCCAUUUAUGCUAUUUGAAAGUUUAGACAUCUUAUUGGCCCACAUUCCUCAUAGAUGUGUAAGAUUUUGUCUUGAGAAAACACAGUGUUUGUACCCUAAUCUACCAUCAUUUUCAUUUUCUGUAUAAACAAGAGGUUAGAGAGUUAGUGACUUGCUGAAGAUCAUACAAAUGCCUAACUAAUGGCAAAGGUAGAAUCGAAUCAACUAGGCUUAAAUAUUGAAUAUUUCUCUUUUGCUAAUGUUCAUUUUAAAAGGUACUGAAGAAUCCCAUCUCUGUGCUAAGCUGUAUUCCAGGCUCUAGUGAAUAAAUUCUAACCCAUGCUACCAUGGAAAUCAUAUUUUUAUUCCACAAAGAAGCAUAUCAUUUGAUAAGCCAUGAGAAGUUUCUGCAUAAAAAUGAAGCAAGGGAUAUCAAGAAAGAAGGACAGGAUUAGAAAGAGUGCUACAUAAAAUAUGAUGGUCAUCUAACAAUUCCUCUCAACAAAAGUGAACUUUGACCUUUGGGUAAAGAUCUGAAGGGAAUGAGUAUGUUAAGCUUGUAGAGGUGGAGCAUUCUAGAGAGGGAAUACAAGGUCAGAGUGGAUGGAAUCAAGUGAGCAAGAUCAGAAAGAUAGGAAAAGAGGUCCAUUGUUAGGGAUCAACAGUGUGGAGGGUGGUUAUAAAGGAGGAUUGAUUUUCCUUGAUAAGGGAUUUUAUUAUCUAAUAUUUCAAAGAGUCACUUUAUCUAUGUGGUGAAAAAAUGCAAAGACCCUGUCUGGGGGCUAUUAUUCUUUAUGAAAGUCAACAGUACUAUGUACUAAGGUGGUGAAGAGUGGUAAUAUCAGGGACAUGUUUCACAAUUUCAACAAAAGAUUGUUGAAAUUUGUGGAGAUGGGCCUUAUUCCAGGUGUGGGUGUCAUGUGAAGAAGGGCAUGUGGUUCCCACAGCUGGGCAUUAUCUGAACAGAUGUAUCAACCCAAAACUGGUCCUCAUCCUUGAAAGCUUAGAAGCCUGAUGAGCCACCAGGAAUUUUUCUGGUUUAAUAAAACAUUCAGAGAUUAAUGUACAAAAAUGAAGGGGACAGUGCAUUAUAUCUUAGGUGAGAAAUAUGGCUAUCUUAAAUAAGUUUCUGCUGGAUUCUAUGGAUCUCCUGGAGAUAUAUUGUAGGAGACACCAAAAUAGAUUCAGUCUGUUGCUGUUUGAGCAUGGCAAGGAAGAAAACCUGUAAGAUAGAUGGGUAACAUAGUAGCUGGGUGUAUCCGUCUUCCUACAGAGUGGAAAGAUGUACACAUUAAGGGAUCCAUGUAGACAUCUACUCAUGCUCUUGUUCCACAGUAUACAUAUACAGCAUAGGACUGGAGUCCCUACAGUCAGAAUGGGCUUCUCUCUUGUGUUUCCUUUACCUUGCCAAUGACAAACACAACCUCCACUGACCUAGCUAGCACAUUCUUCCUUUCGAUAUGUUAAUAUAUUUUGUAGGUUUUGCUGUAGUUUGACCUGAGAUCAUUUCAUCUCUUUAAUGAUUUUUCUCCACUAUAUUUUUUGUUUUACUUACAAAGAACAAUCACCUUAUUUCUCAGUUUCUGAGUUAUACUGAUUAUACAUCAUUAUUAGGAGUUAUUGUAUAUUAUCCUUCUAAAACUCUACUCAAUAGAGUUAUCUGCUAAAUUUAUACUAAGUGAAUAAAAAAAAAGGUACAGUUAUGUUUUCAAAUCAUUUAUAUGCAGGUCACUUUUUUUUUCAAUCACUGUACUCAAAUAAACUAACUUUAUUGAUGUCUCAGUUGAGUCUACUCAAGACUAAACCUUUUUAGGUAUAUGAUAGUUAAGCUUUUCAUGAGCUAUAAUUGGUAAGUAAAAAUUCCUUAAGUGUUUAGUUUUCUUAAAGGUUUGUUCUAAACCAUGUUUAAUUUAUAAUAAGAUACUUGUCUAGUUUUCUAUAAUCUUUAUAUUUUCAAGGGAUUAAAUCUAAAUAGAUUCUUAUUCUUUUGUUAUUUUAGCAACAAUACAGUGAGGUAGGGAGAAGCAUUGCAAAUCUUUCAUGUAGUCCUUUGUGCUUGGGGGAGAAAUGGUUGAAUUUCAGCCCACCCUCCAGUAGGGCUAAAGAGAUUAAAGAAUCAAAUGAUGAUUAGACCCUCCUUUUAAUGUGUGUUUAUAUUAUUCAUAACAAAUGCCAUAUUCCUAAUCUUCCAUUUAUUUGUGAGACAAUUUUGUUCUUAUUAGCUAAAGCUGGGAAAGCAUUUGUCCCCUUUGCCAGUAAAAUGUCUUCAACUAUAAAACCAUUUGAAAUAUCCUCUAAACAUGAAAUAAAUAUUUACCUAAGUAAAAGAAUGUUAAUACCAAACAUUUUCUAAAAAAAAAUUGUCUUCACUCCAAAAAAUCAAAACAACAGGGAUUAUAUAUAUAUAUAUAUAUAUAUAUAUAUAUAUAUACUUAAACUGAAAUGUGUGUCAAAGAAUAUAACAUAUUUUGCUCCACAUGCUAUAGGACGAGAAAAUAGUUUAAUCCUAGAUUAAAUAAUUAUUUUGUUCACUGACUUUGAUAUUAGAACACUGAGUAGCUUAAUGUAAUUUUGGAAAUUUUCUAAGAGGUUAAAAAGUAAGAAAGUUUUCAGCUCAUAUAUGUUCUUGGUUUUGUAUAAAUUAAUUUUAAGAAUAUUUUUCAUCUGUUUCUUUUUAGGGGGGUAAAUGAUCAAUAUUUAUCUUUGGAGAAAUUGAGAUUCUCAGAUACACCAAUGCUCUAAAAGCUACAAAACAAACUAAAGAAAUGAUCAAUAGAAUAAAUAAACUGAAAAAUCUAGAAAUUACAAGACAUUUUUAUGUGUGUUCUAAUGACUUAGUAAUUUAGAAUUUCCAGUGUAUCAUGAUACCCUGCACUCAAAUUUCAACAAGAAAUUUCCUGGCCCAAGUCUUUCAUGCUAUGUCAUUCUAUUUUCCAUUGUCCCAUGCCUUCUAUGUAAUUUCUUGUCCAGCUUGGUGAGCUGGAAGGGUUCUUAAUUGGGUUAGUGGAGGGAAGCCAAAUUUUAGCUUUUGCAUUUCCCUGAGAACACCUGGGUGGGAAGAUCAUGAGACAAGCUCUUGAACUAUCACUGUGCAGUAAACUUUGUAGUAGUUUAGUCUCAAAAUCAAUAGAGAAAUCAGUAGGCAGAGAUGCCAGAGCUAAUCUAUUCAUGGACACAGAAUUGGGAGAGUGAAAAAAUGUUAAUCAUCACUUUUUAGCUACUUUAAACUAUGGGAAAUUGAGAGACCUGCUUUUAUAAAUGUCUUCAAAAAUUGUUUAGAGUGAAUUCUGGUUUACCUACAAAACAUAAGGAUCAUUGAGGUUGUCACUCUCCCUCUUAUAACAAGGAAAAGCUGAACAAAUCAAUAGCUUUUUUUCUGGAAAAGCUGAACAAAUUAAUAGAUUUUUCUGGGUUAAUCAGAGAACUGAUAUAAUUUCUGUAGCUGGGUAUUCAUUCUUUGGAAACCUGAAAGUUGAUGUUCCUGACUAGUGUUUAAAUAUAUCAUCAUCAAUAUGCUUUUUUUCUCUUUUUAGUUGUAGAUGGACACAAUAACUUUAUUUUAUUUAUUUAUAUGUGGUGCUGAGGAUUGAACCCAGUGCCUCACACAUGCUAGCAAAUGCUCUACCACUGAGCUACCACCCCUGCCCACAGCAUCAAUGUGUUUUAAAAAAUUAUUUGAGGGCUGGGGUUGUGGCUCAGUGGUAGAGUGCUUGUCUAGCAUGUGUGAGGCACUGGGUUCAAUUCUCAGCACUGCAUAUAAAUAAGUAAAUAAAAUAAAGGUCCAUGAACAACUAAUAAAAAUAUUUUCAAAAAAUUUAUUUGAGUUCUGUACAAUAGGGAUUAUAGUUACAAGUAAAGAACAAGGUCUGGAAGGGUCUUAGAGCUGUCAAGAACCACAGAAUUUGUGUCCUUGAAUCCCUGUGUCUUCAAUGAAGGACACUGAGAUGAGAACUGGAAGAAGAGAUCUAAAGGAAUAGCAUCUUAAAGCAUCUUAGAGAAUAGUAUCUCAAAGUGGUUACACUAUCCUAUUCAUGGACCUAUAGGCAGUUCAUGAAGAUGAGUUCCUACAGAACUAGAAGAAUAUCAGCACUAAUUUCAGCAAAAUGAACAAUAUUUUGUUCAAAUUUGUAAUUUGAAUGUUUUAUUUCAUUGUUUAUUUUCAUUCUUUCAUUUGCUUAUGCAUUUUGGGAAAAUAAGAUUCUAAUAUGUGCCAGGCACACUAUUAGGUGCUUUGGAUAAAAGAAACAAAUACAUAGCUAUAAUUUUUUGAAUGCUUACUAAGUGUGUUUUAGCUCAAUGAGUUUUAAAUACAUUUUAAAAGCCCCCCACAAACCUGGAGAUUUAAUGACAUGAGAGAUUAAGUCACAUGUCUAAAAUCUGUAUGGUUUUAGAAAAGUACCGAUUUGAGCUUCAAACUUAGGUCUAACUGCCACCUAAGAGCAGAUUCUUUCACCUCACCUAUACCACUUAAGACCUGUCCUUAAAGAACUUAGGAGUAUAUAGGGAAAAUAAGCAUGUAAAACAACAAUAAAAUGUAAAUAACAACUAUAACACAAUACUUAGCAAUAUUAUUCAACAUACAUUUGACAUCAUUUAUUGAGGACCUAUCUCAUUCACUAAGGCUUGAGGAUGAGGUAUAUAUGAUGUUUGCAGCCAUUGUAAUAUGCUUGCAACUAUGAGGAGACUAUGCCAAAGGUCUCAUAGAAUCUAUUUAUUUAUUUGCAGUUCUAGGAAUUGAACAUAGGGCCUCACAUAUACUAGGCAAGUGCUCUGCCACUGAGCUACAUCCUAAGCACUAGAAUUUUAUUUUAACUUAAAAUGACAAACUGUAUAGCUAGCAUAGACAUUCAGUAUUAUCUGGAACCUCCUACCUAGUUUUCAAUUGAGGAUGAUGUCCCUGUGGUGUGAUAUGCCUUGACUAGACUCACACAGGACCCAUAGCCUAAGGCAAGAAACAAUGACACAGAAUUUGAGAUUUGUGCCCAUAUUGCAUUCAAAAUGCCGUUUUCCAGUUAAAGUUUUCUUUUCUCUUCAUCAAAUUUCAGUAAAAUGUGACAGACUUACUCUUUAUGUCUUUAUUUUUCUCUUAUUUCAUAAAAUAUUUUGGUGAACUCAGGCUAUUGUGCAAUCUUACACUUGAAUAUUCAAUAUGAAAAAGUUUUGUCAACUUUUAUAGUGAACAAAAUGGUACUAUUUAUUUUCUGUAAUGUUUGGUUAAGAUCUGUAAUCUUUUGGAUGCGCAUAUAGUAUAAAGCUUUGAUGUUAAUAAAGUCAGGUAGGAGAUAGCUGGUGAGGGGUCAGUGGUGUGCUAGAGAUAGCUCACACCUGCUCCAGGGAACUGGAUAUUAAAUUUUUAGGAAAUUCUAAAAAUCAUUGUGAAACAUAGAUGUUAAUUAAAAAAUAAGAUAUAUAGUCUUAAUAUUAAAAUGAAGAUAUCUAUAAUCAAAAUAAAAAUAUAUCACUCCUUAAUUGUUUUACUAUUAUCUGAGCUGUUCAGUAAUUUUUUACAUGGAUCACAUUUUUACGGUAGAACUCUCCCUUAUUAAGAGUAUGCUUCUGUUCUUUCUCUACUUUGCAUUAAGUGACAUCAUUUUCAUAGUUUAAAGUUGGCCCCAGGGGAAUAUUUAUGCUACAGAAGUGAAUUAUGAUACAAUCUCCCUUCAUCAGAAAUCCACUUAGUAAAUAUGUGUCAGAAUGCUACUGGGAGCAGAGGAUAUCACAAUAUUGGUCAGUUCUUGCUACCUACAGAGUUGAUCUUGGUUUGAGUUAUACUCUGUUGUGUGUCCGCUUGUUAAACUGCUUUUGCAUAGCAUCAGGUUCCCAUGUAGUAUGUUCUACAAAAAAAUCUGAGAUGAAUUCUAGUACAAAAGGCUUGAGGAUGAGGUAUAUCCGAUGUUUGCAGCCAUUGUAAUUUGCUUGCAACUAUGAGGAGACAUGUCUGAGGACAAAAGUCAGCAUGUUGAGAAUGGCAGAGCAGAAAGAAUGGAAGAACCCAAGUCCUUGGUGAUGAUACUGAACCACUGGAUUAAUUAAUUUUGGAAUCACACUUCAGGCCUCUUGUCAUGUGAAAAAAAUAUAUUUUAAAGCCACUUUUAAUUGGGAUAUCUAUUACUUGCAGCAGAGAGUAACCUAACUAAUAUACCAAUUACCCUUUUUAUAGAUAAAAGUCAGCUAAUUUCUACAGCCAAGACAGUUAUGAAAGUUCAUUUAAGGUCUUAUUAGCACUUCUAUUUUAAAGGCUUGUCUUUUUAUUUUUAAUUUUAAGUACAACUUUGACUUAAUUAUAGCUUCCAGUAUAUGAAAGUGUUAUUUGAACCUAGGUCCUUUAUGUGAAAUGCAACCCAGCCAGAAAGGAACUUUUAAAAAGUGUGAACAUUCCAAAUAUGUGUUCAUAUAAUUAUGAGUACUAAUGACUAUGAUGAAUAUCUAACACCUAACUUAAAGUAGUUUUCCUUAGCAAAGGAAGUGACAUCAGAAUCCAGUUAUUCAAAUAUUUAUAAAGCCUCUAUUAUUUAUAGCCAUACCAUACUUAUCAAACACAUCAUCAGUAAGCUUGUAUACAAUUAUAAACUUAAGAGAGGCUUUUAAUUAAACACAAUUCUUAUGCUUCCUUGGAAAUUCUAAUAAUGACAGAAACAACACAAAAUGUCCUAAUUUUAUACUAUUAGAAAUGUGAUCAUUUAAUAGAGAAGCUGUAUUUUGGCUGAAUAAUAAUAAGGAAGUUAUCAUACUGUAACUCAAAACUCCUAAGGAUUGUUUCACAAAACUAAUACAAAUAAUACAAAAAUAAUGAUUAUAGAGUAUUAUUCUUUCUAUGCAAGGAAGGGCAGAUGUUUCAUAUUCUAGCAGAAACUAUAGAAUUGGAAGUCUGCAAAGACAACCUACAGUCUGAAUUCUAAUAUUAAUUUAAUUAAACUAGAAAAAGAGGAGAUGAGAGAUGUGCAUAUUAAUAAAUGAAGUGGAAUGGGUAAACCAUAUAAAAUAAUAAUAGAUAAUACAAUGUUGGUAAAUUGGUUGUUGAUUUACCUAGUGAGAUGUCAGCUCCCAUAUGAAAGGCAGCUGAAGACAUUCUUUGCAGCUUCUUAGAUGAAAAACUGUUGAUGCAGUCUCCUAAAUUCAAAUUUCCUCUAUAGUUUGGUAAUUAUAUAUGAGUAUCUAUCAAGUAAUAUAAGUAUAAUCCCAUCACUCUCAUAGUUAUCUAUUAAAAGGUAAAAGGUUUCAUGUGUAACUGUGUUUAUUACAUGCAUUUGCCAAAAAAAUGAAUUUGGUAUUUUAAAAUGACAGUAGGGGAAUUCCAUUUGAGACCAUAUAGAAAGACGCCAAUAUUGGACAAAAGUAGGAAAAAAAAAUAUUAAACAAGCCUGAAAUUCUCUUAAAUGAAGAAACGCUCCUGGAGUUGACCCAUGAUUGUCCCAACUGUCUUCCUGAGAACCAUUCCUCGACUAUGAGAGGGAGCCUAAGCCCCAGCAGAGCUCAACACUACAGUUACAGCAAAGGUUAGAAUUAGGAGUUACUGAAGGAGCUGAAAUUCAGGGGGGUAGGGCACUAGAAAGUAGGCAGUUGAACUAAAUGGAGACCCCAGAAUUUGUAUAGGUUUUUCUGUCAAGAGUCUGGCUGAGCUUCUUAAGUUCAAAAAGAGAUUGUGGGAGGGUAAACUGUAAGCAGAUAACUACAGACUUGAGAAAAGAACGGAGACACUGGAGAGUGCACAGUGCUGGGUGGCCUUGAUGCCACAACUCAGCCAGAGUGGAGAAAUCUUGUUAGUAUCCUGAACCUCCAGCUGAAACAUCAGAAAGGCCAUUCUCGUGUGUGCCCCUCUCACAGACCAGGGGUAAGCAAACAUGUUUCUGUAAAGGGCUAAAGUAUAAAUAUUAUAAAAUCUCUGAUCCUGCUGGGUGUGAUGGUGCAUGCCUGUAAUCCCAGCUGUUCGGGUGGCUGAAACAGAAAGAUCUCAAGUUCCAAGCCAGCCUCAGCAAAGGCAGGACACUAAGCAACUCAGUGAGACCCUGUCUCUAAAAAAAAUACAAGAAAGGCUGGGGAUGUGGCUCAGUGGUUGAGUGCCCCUGAAUUCAAUCUCAGAUAACUCCCACCCCAAAAAAACAUCUCUGAUCCAUAUGGACUCUGUUGCAUCUACUUUAACUCUGAUUUUAUGAUGUGAAAACAUCUAUAGACAAUCCAUAAAUGAAUGGGUGUGGCUCUGUUCUAAUAAAGCCUUAAUUAUAAAAUUACCAGGUGUUGAUCUAUAUUUGACCUGCAGGCCAUGGUUUGCUGACUCUUGUUGUAGAGUAAGGUCUAUGCUAUACCUGCUUAUUAAACCUAAAACUCAGCCUUGAUAAGACCCACAGAAGAGAAGCUUAGAGUCUAAAUACCACUAAGUUAGAAGGACUUGAGAAACACUUUAGGUAUGACACUCAUAGGUCCUAACAAAGCAUAAAACUAAGCUAAUACAAGUACAGAGCAAAUAAUCAAUGAUUGAGCUGCUUGCUUGGGCAAAAUCUACAAUUUAAAAAAAUGCAGUAUAUUUAAGUCAGAUCUUAAAUCAUUAAGUGCCCAGUAUAAAUCCUAAAAAAUUACUACACAAAGAGAAAAACAAUUAAUAAAAAACAAACUUAGAGAUAGCUCUGAAAUUUAUGUAGAAAGCAAAAACUAAGAGGGAUUUAUUAUGAAUAAUCUCAAGGAAUAAAAUAAAAAUAUGUCCUUUAUAUGAGACACAUGAGGAAUCUAAGCAAAAAAAAAAAAAAUGAAAAGCGUAAAAGGAAAUGAAACAAAAUCUACAACAUAAAUGAAGUAACUGAAAAGUUUUAAAAUCCAUUACAUGUACUUGUAUGACUAGAGAUAAAAGAAGAAAGCGUCAAUGAAAAAAAAAAAGCCAGUAGAGAAAACAAAAUAGAAUACUUUUAAAAGUAUGUAAUCAAACCAAAAAAGGCAAGAAAGGAACAAGAAAACCAGAAAGGUCACGUUGAAAACACACAGAAAAAUGCAAGCACAUCAACAUGUGCACUGAAUGCUGAUAAACCCUCCAGUUAAAAAGGAGAUCAGUAUAUUGAAUUAACAAAUUAGGCUGGCAUGCUUCACAAAAUAGAUUUAUCAGAAAUCUGGAAUAAGCAAAGUAGAAAUCAAGAAGAGUAUUAUUAAAAAUGAAAACACAUAUAAUUAUAAAUAGGCAAUUAACCAAGAAAAAAUAAUAAGCUACAUACUUAUGUACUUAAUAGCUGAGAUCUGAAAGAGAAGCAGAACCCAGCAUAUCUAGAGAUGGAGCUAUCCAUAGUCAUGUUGGUUGUUUUCAUGCUCACACUGUAAUUGACAGAACAACUAAUAAAGGUUCAGCACAGCUACAAAAGAUCUUGACCCAAUGGGCAUUAGAAGUGCAUAACAUAUAAUAACUGCAUGAUGCAUGUUAUUUAAAAUGUUCAUUGAAUAUUCACCAAAAUAGAUCAUAUGAUGGGCUAUAAAAUGUCUCAAAAGAUUUUUUUGUUCUUUUUAGUUAUACAUGACAGUUGAAUGUAUUUUGACAUAUCAUAUAUACAUAGAUAACUUCCCAUUCUUGUGCUUGUACAUGAUGUGGAGUUAUGCUGGUUGUGUAUUCAUCUAUGAACAUAGGAGAGUUAUAUUUGAUUCAUUUUACUAUCUUUUUCAUUCCCUUUCAUCUCCCUUCCCGCCAUUCCUCCCUGUCCAAUCCAGUGAACCUGCACUCCUCCCUCUCCCCCAGCCUAUUGUGAGUCACCAUCCACAUAUCAGAUAGAACAUUGAUCUUUGGUUUGGGGGAUUGACUCAUUUCAUGUAGCCUCCAGUUUCAUCUAUUUACUGUCAAAUGCCAAAAUUUCAUUCUUCUUUAUGGCUGAGUAAUAUUUAGUUAUGUAUAUGUGCCACAUUUUCUUUAUCCAUUCUUAUAUUGAAGGGCACCUAGGGUUGUUCUAUAGCUUAGCUAUUGUAAAUUAGCUUAACUGCUAUGAACAUUGAGGUGGCCACAUCUCUAUAGUUGCUGAUUUUAAGUGUUAAACACAAUAUUUAAAAAUUACCCAAAUAUCUGGAAUUUAUUAUCAUCUAAAUAACAAAUAAAUGAAAAAAAUCAUAAAUGAAAAUGUAUUGAAGUAAAAGAAAAUAGAAGCAGAUGAAAAUAUAUAGAGUGGAGUCAAAACAGUGCAAAGGGAAAUUGUAGCUUUUAAAUAUCUAUUUUAAAGAUAAAAGUUUAAAACAAAUGAUGUAAGUUUCUACCCUAAACAGUAGCAAAAGAAGAAGAACAACAACAACAACAAAAACUAAGUAAGUAAAAGGAAAGAAUAUUAAGGUACAACCAAAAAUCAAUAUUAGAGAAACUGAACAAAGCCAAUAGUCUAUUCUUUUGAUACAAUUAAUAAAAAUGAUUUAAAAAUACCACAAAAGCCAAAGCCAAGAGUCAGAGAAGCAAUACCACUAUAAAGGAUUCUACAAACAAUAAAGGAUAAUACCAUAAUAUCAUGAAAAACCUUGUCAAUAAAUCAAACAGCCUACAUGAAAUUGACCUAUUCCUUAGAAACUGUAACUUACCAAAUUUGACUCACAGAGAGAGAAAUUUUCAGUGUUUCUAAAUUUAUUAGAUAAGGGCCUUUGUUACCAAUGACCUUUCAUCACAAAAUUCUUUGACCCAGAUAAUUUCAACUGAAGUGUUAAGCAAGAAUAAAUACUGAUCUUACAUUCAUUUCUUUCAAAAUAUAGAGGAUGAAGGAACAAGCACACCAUAAUUCAUUAUAAAAAGCAGCAUAUUCCUGGUGACCAGCAUAUUCCUGGUUUUUCAUGAUAUUAUGAUGAUGGAAUGUGAUGGACAUUAUUAUCCAAAGUACAUGUAUGAAGACACGAAUUGAUGUGAAUAUAAUUUGUAAAUGACCAAAAUAUGGCAAAACCAUUACAAAGGAAGAAAGAAAAUCACCUUAAUAACUCUUUUUUUUCCUUCUUUUAAUUAUUUUUUUUAAAUUUACAUAUGACAGAAGACUGCAUUACAAUUCUUAUUACACAUAUAGAGCACAUUCCAUCAUCAUUUCUAAUCCCAUGCCCACUCCCUUCCCCUCCCACCCCUCUAGAGCUUGCCUAUUCCUCUCAUGCUCCCCCUCUCUAUCCCACUAUGUGCUCUAUUCUACUUCAGCACUGGGGAGCUCUCCUAGCAUUGGGAAGAAGGAAAGUUUACGCUUGACAAUUUCAUCUAGUGUUACUUGGUAAGCUCUAGUCAGGGUAAUAAGACAAAUAAGUACAUAAACAUAAAUCAAAAGUAUUGGAAAUACACAAAGCAAAUCAAAGAAAUUCCUAAGAAAAUUAUAAAACCAAAUAAUCCAUCAAAAUUAGUCAGUAAAUUUAGCAAGUAAUUUAGCACAUAAUUUAAACAUUAAAAAGUCUAUUUUAUUUUUGAAUAAAAGUAAUUAAUAAUUGGGAAAAACAAUAUUACUUACUAUACCAUAAAAAUAACAUCACAAAUAUUUAGCAAUAAAUAUGAUAAAAUACAGGAAAGAUACUAUACUGAAACACUGAUGAGAGAAAUUUAAGCACAUGUUUUAAUGCCUGACAUACCUGGGUAAACAUUACAUCACAGUUCUGUUUUCUGUAGUUGUUUUGCUUCUACAACUUUGUUAGUCUAAAUUCAGUUUUCUAAAUUUCUUACAUCAUUGCCAAAGUUCACUUUGCAGUUGGGUUGCUAAUAGAAUGAAAAUGAUAAUAUUGAAGUAAUUGGCACAGAACUUGGGUCUUACAGAAGUUCAGUAUCAUAUGGCUCAGGAAUAUGUCAGUACAAGAAAAUAUUUUCCUAAGAAAAGGAGAUAGUAUUCCAAAACCUCUGAUGAUGAUCCAUUCAAUCCUGAACCAUUUCACUUUAAUCUGCAUAACUCAGACAAAAAACAUAAUGGUCAUUAUUAUUUGGAACAUUCAUCUCAAAAUGUCUUAAUUCGGGUUCCUUCAAAAGCACAGCUUACGACAAGGACUUGGGUGCUGGUUACCUUACUUAGGUGAUGAUCUCAAGGUGCAAGAAUGAAAGAGCAGAGGAAGUAGAAUAGGGAAACAGAAGAGUCAUUAUGAAGUGACUUAUUGAGGUUACUGCUGUGGGCCAUGACGGCUUGUUUCCCAAAGAAUCUCUUGAGGAACAUACAGAAUACCUCCCACAACUUUUCCUUAGCACCCCAGAAGGCUAGAGCUUUACACACAGGCUUCAUUGGUUGUAGAUUGCAUUAGGACAUUAAUGACCUGAACACUCUGUGCCUAUCCUGGCUGCCUUGCACCAGGCUGAGCAAAUUUCUACAGCAUCAGAGAAGGCAAUGAAGCAGAAUAUAGAUGUACACAUGAAGUGAAUUUGAGAUGAGGCUCUACCCAUGUGUGGUAGAUUGGAACUGGCACAGACCUGCCUUCCACAGCUGAGGUUGAAAUCAGAGAUGAACUGAGUUGAUAAUGACAUUAAAUAGAAGAAUCUAGUACACCAAGUCUAAAAACAGGUUAAGUUUUGUUCACUCUACUAAUGCUGGGAAGUGGAUAAUGUGUUUUGGAAGAUGUCUUAAUCUGCGCUGGCUGUUAUAACAAAGCCCAUAAACUAGAUAGCUUGUAGACAACAGAGGUUUUUUUCUGCCUGGAGGCACAAGCAGAUUCAAUGUCCAGUGACUGCCUAUUUCCUAGUUCAUAGAUGUGAGCUUUCUCACUGUGUCUUCACAUGGUGGAAGAGGCUAGAUAGCUGUGGAAUCACUUUUUGUGGGGGAACUAAGCCCAAUCAUGACAGCAAAUCCCUGAUGACCCAUUACCUUGCAAAGGUCCCAUCUCCGAAUUCCAUCAACUGGGGUGUUAGGAUUUCAACAUCAGUUUGUGGGGGAGGGAGCCCAUAUGAGAAGGACUUUCCUCAAAAGAUAAUUACUGAAUUAUAAUAUAUAAUUUUCAUGCUAAGUAGAAAAAAAUUGCUAUGCCCAUAGGUCAUUUUUCAAAAGAAUAUAAAACCAGGGAAUGCAAAAGAAAUUUUGAUUGUAUUUAGGAAUAUCAUCUAAAAUUAUAUUUUGAUAAAUUCUAGAUUGGCAGUGCUAAUUUGUACCAGGUCACAUAGCUAAUUUAGGUAUCAGAAAUAUUACCCAUAUUCCAGCCCAUAGAUUUUUCCACUAGUCUACUCAGCCUGUCUUCAUAUCACCUGCCUUGACAUCUAAAUCAAUUUUUACACAUAAAAAGGUUUACAUGGAAGAAUGCUAUCACGUAGAUUUGUUCUGCUCCCCCUCACCCACCAAAUGGCUGGGUUGCCUGCAAUUAAAAAAAAAAAUGCAACUACAACCUAUACCUUCAGAUCUCCUAAAUGUCACCCCAUUUAAGAGGCUGAAGAGGGAGCUUUAGUGGCUAUGAAACAUGCUUCACUGACUAAGAACUAGUUCUUCUGAGGAACAAAAUUGGAAAAUCCUGCCAGAACUUUUCUUUUCCAGUGUAGCCAGACUUUCCUGUGCCCAUUAACAUGUUCACCCAAAAGAAUUCUGCACUUUAUCAAAAUUCAUUAUUUUAUUAUAAAAAAAUACAAAAUUUUAUUUUAUUGUCUUUUUUACAGAUUUAUUAAAGUAUAAUUGAAAACUAAAAUUACACAUAUGUCUGGUAUACAAUGUGAUGUUUCAUAUAAGUAUAUGUUAUUAAAUGAGUACCACAAUCAAAAUAAAAUAUCCCUCACCUCACAUAGUUACCAUUUGUGUGUGUAUGUGUAUGUAUGUGUGAAUGUGUGUGUGUGUGUGUGUUAAGAAGAUUUAAGAUUUACUCUCUUGGGAAAUUUCAAGUAUACAAUAGAGAAUUAUUAGCAUUAGCCACUAUGUUGUACCUUAAAUCUUCUGUACUUAUUCAUUCUGCAUAACUGAAACUUUGUAACCUUUCACUAAUAUCUCCCCAUUCCCCUCAUCCCUUACCAAGCACUAUUAUCUGUAGGUGUCUGGUUUAUAUCACUUAUCAUAUUAUUUUCCAGUUUCAUCCAUGUUGCCAAGUGACAGGGUCGCCUUCUUUUUAAAGUGAUAUAAUUUUAUAUAGACAACAGACUUUUUUUUUGUCAGUUCAGGAGGCACCAGCAGAUUCAAUGUCCAUCUCUGUAUUAUUUUCCUUAAUGGCUCUGUCAAUUUAUAUUCCCAUUAACAUGUACAAGGGCUGUCUUUUCUGCACAUCCUUUCCAAAACUCACUGUCUCAUGUAUUUUUAAGAGAGAGAGAGAGAAAAGAGAGAGAAAAAAAAAAAUUUUAAUAUUUAUUUUUCAGUUUUUGGUGGACACAACAUCUUUAUUUUAUUUUUUAUGUAGAGCUGAGCAUCGAACCCAGGGCCCCAUGCAUGCCAGGUGAGCACGUUACCACUUGAGCCACAUCCCCAGCCCUGUCUCAUGUAUUUUUAAUAUUAGCUAUUCUGUAAGGUGUAAGAUAACUCCUUGUGGGUUUUCUUUGCAUUUUCUUAAUUAUUAGUGGUAUUUAACAUUUUUUGUGUACCUAGUGACCAUUCACAAAUUUCCUGUUAAAAUAAAGUCUAUUUAGAAUCUUUUCCCUUUUUUUUUUUUAAACAGGGUAUUUGUUUCCAUGGUAUAGAAUUGUUUUAAAUUCUUCUACACAGAUGCUCCUCAAGUUAUCAGGGCUUAUGUCCCAAUAACCCCCUUGUAAGUUGAAGAGGUUAUUGCAUCAGAAGAAAAUAGCCCAACCACAAAAGAAAUACAAAAAACCUAAGCAGAAAGGAAUAGAUAAAAUUUUGUUUGUUUGCUGAUGACUCAUUUUAGUAGAACAGUGUUAUGCUAAUAACAAAGCAAGACAAAGAUACUAAAAGAAAAUAAAACUAUAAAUCAAUAUUCCUGUUGCAUUUAGUUGCAGAAAUCCUCAACAAAAUAAUAGUCAAAUUUAACAGUACAUUAAAAGAAUAAUAAACCAUAAUUUGGUGGAGUUAGCCCUAAGAUGCAAGUAGGAUUCAAUAUAUAUGAAUCAAUAAAUAUGAUAUGCUAUAUUAACAGAAUGGAGUAUAAAAUCAUGAUCACUUUAAUCGAAGAAGAAAAAGCAUUUGACAAUAAUAUCCUUUUAUGUUAAAAAACAUUUCAACAAAUUUGGGUAUAGAAGGAAUAUACCUCAGCAUAAUAAAAGCCUGUGUAUUACAAAUGCACAGAUAACUUCUUACUUGGUGAAAAGCUGAAAGAUUUUUCUUGAAAAUAAGGAAUAAGUCAAGGAUGACCUCUUUACCAAUUCUAUUCGAUACAGUACUCUAGAUGUGUCAGCUCAUAUAUUUGCUAUCCAUGAACAAACUAUUGCAAUUAUAAUUAUUUUAAAUUCUUUUCACAAGGUAGUUAAAAGUGAUUUAGACACCACCAUUACAGCAUUAGAAUAUUCUGAAUUUGACUCUAUUAUUACCUUUGUGGUGAAUGUAUACUUUUGUAAGUUCUUAUGCUUUUAGUUAAUAUCUUUUCUUUCAACUUUCAGCCUUUCAUGUAAAGCAAAUCUAGUUGUACCAUUCUUUGGAAUUCAUCUGACUACUCAUUUCCAUUUCCAGUUUUGGGGAGUGUUCUGUCAUCAUUUCUUUGAGUAUUUUUUUUUUGUCUUUUUCCUCUUUUUUGCUCCUUUUGGUACUUCAUAUACUUAUAGUGGUUCACUUCAUCGUGUUCCUAAAAUUCCAUUACAUUUCUUCAUUCUUUUUUAUUCUCUUUUUUUCCCUCUGAGUUCCCCAUUGGUUCUGAUUGGUUCUGUCUAGUGUUGAAGGUCUCUGGAAUUUUUCAGUUUUGCAUUCAUCAGCAUUAGUGUCUCUGGUUCUUUUAUCAAUCUCUUUCUUUAACUUUUUCAUGUUUUGUUUAUCUGACAUCAUUUAGUUGUUUAUCUGUGUUUUCUUGGUAGCUGAGUUUCUUUACAAUGAUUAUUUUGAAUUUUUGUCAGUCAGUUCAUAUUUCUUCAACUUUGUUUUUUGUUGUUGUGGUGAUGGUGGCUUUCUUUCUUUUAGUUCAGAUACCAGUGCUCUGUUUUAUUCUUUUGAUGGUGUCAGGUUCUCCUGAUUAUUUGUGAUUAUUGGUGUCUGCACACUUGAAGAUGUAGGCACUUUUUUCCAGCUUUUGUGGAUUGAUUUUGCCAAGGAAAGCCCUUUACCAGUAAGACUAUAUGAAUGGGCCUGCUAGUGGGGUCUGCAUUGGGCUUAUUGUUGGAGUCUUUGGGCAGAUUAGCUUGGUGAAUGUGUCAGAAAGUGGGCUGGCCUUGUUUCUGGGUCCACAGAGAUCUUCCUGGUGUCUGAGUUCAGAGGAGCAGGCAGGCCUACGAUCUGGUCUUGUUCCACAGGGAAAGACUUGUAGCCCGGUUCCAUCAUGGCAAACCUGGAGCUGGGGUUCACUGGAGUGGGCCUGGUGACUAAUGUUUUUGAAAGUGGUCCUGGAGCUUUUGUAUUGUGGGGAUAUUCUGAAGCCUGAGUCCAGGGGAUCCAAAUUGUAGUCUUUUGGCCUGAGUCUGUAUAGCCAGACUGGUGCUGAGUUAGUCUUGUAGCCUCUGCCCAUAGUGUGGGCCUGGUGUCUGAGUCUUCAGGGGAUGAUGGCCUAGUGCUAGGGUAUAUAUAAUAGGGCAGGCCUAGUACUUGAGUCCACAGCAAAGCUGAAUGCUGGCUUCACUGUCCUUCCCCUAUGUGAGUAGUGUCACUUUCCACACUGCCUUGCCCAGGCAUGGGGGAUAAGGGACACUGUUAUUGUGAAAUUGCCCUUCAUAAUCUUUGGAAUGCAAAUUUUUUCUUAUUUUUGUGCUCCACUAUGUUACUAUGAUCUGUCACCUGGAUUCAUUAGCCCCUAUGAAGGUAUUUUUCUAUAUGAUAUUAUUCAAAUUUUGAGGGCCAUGAGUUGGAAUCUCCUAUUCCAUCAUCUUGCUGAUGUCACUCCCAUUAGUAUAAAUUUUGAAGCUUAUAAUUAUUUAAGUUAAAAAAUUAAAUAUUUAUACAUUAACAAUUUUCUCAUAUGUUAGCAAAAUUACAUGAAAUUUUUAAUAAGAAAAUAUCUUAUUUAGAACAAUAACAUGAACAUGAAUUACUUGAAAAUAAGUUAACAAGAAAAGUACCAUUUAUGUAUGAGGAAGAUCUCAAGAAGAAACAUGUGAGCACCUGAACAUAUGUAGAGAGAGCAUUUUCUGAAUUGAAAUAUUUGAUAGUGUAAAGACUCCAUGCUAUUUCUCUCUAAUAAAAUGAAAUUCCAAGUCUAACAAAUUUUAUUUUGUUGUUAGAAUUUGAAGGAUAAAAAAGAUCUAGAGACAGGCUAGGGUUAUGGCUCAGUGGCAGAAUACUUGCCUAGUAUAUGUGAGGCGCUGGGUUUGAUUCUCAGCACCUCAUAUAAAUAAAUGAAUAAAAUAAAUGUUCAUCAACAUCUAAUUUUUUUUAAAAAAUCUAUAGAUGUAAUUAACCUAUAAAAAAUUGAAAAAUAUAAAUUAGAUUUUUAUGACCAGAUAUGAAAACACAUUACAACCUUAUACACAGUUGCAUAGUAAAUAAGAAUGAAAGAAUAGACAAGGAAAUCAGUCAAUAUAAUAGGAAUCCAAGGAGUAGACUCUGCUAUUUGUUAUUAUAAAGAAGAGUGCUAUUGAGAGAUUAUUAGUGCUCAUUGCUGGUGAGAAGGAAGAAAAGGUUAAACAGUCAAGAACCCAAACCAAACACACUAAAAACCAGUGCCUAUAAUUGUACAUUUAUCAAACUUUGAAGUGUUCUUUAAGUAUAAAAGCAAAGUUAGAUAGGGCAUGGUGAUGCACACCUAUAAUCCCAGUACAGGGAGGCUGAAGCAGGAGAAUAACAAGUUCAAAGCUAGGCUCAGCAAUUUUGCAUUUCAGUAACUUAGCAAGACCCUGUCUCAAAUAAAUAAAUAAAUAUAAAAAGGGCUGAGGAUGUGGCUCAGUGGUUAGGCACUGCUGGAUUUAAUCUCUGUUAUUUAUAUAUAUAUAUAUAUAUAUAUAUAUAUAUAUAUAUAUAUAUAUAUAUAUAUAUAUAUGAAAGAAAGGAAGGAAGGAAGGAAGGAAGGAAGGAAGGAAGGAAGAAAGAGAAAGAAAAUAAAAUGUAGAAGCCAUUAAAAGGAAAUAAUUGAUUUGGUCAUAUAAAACUCAAAUUGUCUAUAAUUUGAAAUAAUACUAUCGUGUAAAUUGAAUAUAUAAAUUUAAAGGCAUGUAGGAAAAAUAUUUCACUUUGUGACAGUGUUGAUGUUCUUAAUAUGUACAUUCAUAUACCAAUGCAAAACAGAAGUUGCAUAUGAAAAUUUAAAAAGGCAUUAAUAGGUAAUUCCCUAAAGAAAGACUGCAGAUGCCCAAUGCAUUAUGUGAAAAAUGUUUAGUUUUGCAAGAGAGAAAAAUUAAGAACAAGCUGUCAUUUCCUGAUAAAUGAUUGGACACCUUUUUUUUUUGUUUUAAAGGUAAUAUCUUGUGUUGUAAAGGCUUCUAGGAAGUGGGUAUUAUUACUAUAUUGCUAGUUUACAAUUGUCACAUCAUCCUGGGGGAAACUAGAAUAGUACUUUGGAAAAAACAUAAUAAUGUUUGCCAUUUGACCUAGUAGUUUCACUUCUAGCAAUUGGCCCUAAGGGGGAAAAAUCAAUAUAGGUUAUGUAUAAGGUUGAAGUAUGUAUUAUAGUAGCCAAGAAUAACCCAAGGAAAUCAAUAAUAGCUUUUAGCUAAUUUACGUUAUAUAGAAAGCCUUAACUCUUUUUGUUUGUUUAUCCUGCUCUGAAAACUCCUACUCCUCCCUCUGCGACCUCAGGGUCAUCUUUCUAUACUGCUAGACAUCUCUUGGCCCUAUUGUUCCUCCUCUAUACUGGGACUCUUAAGAGAUGGAAUCUUUGGAUCUUUGGAGCCUCAGUUACUGCAUGACUCAGGAGGAUUAGAAAUGAUACUUGGGAGAACUUUAAUGCACCAAGGAUCCUCUUAGGCACUUUCCAUAUGUUAUUUCCUCUGAUAUUCACAAAAACAUAAUGAUUUAGAGACUUCAAUGAUCUCCAUGUACAGAUGAGAAAAUUUGGGUUUAGUAGUUAAUGAACUUGCCAGGUUCAUGUAGCUAUUAAGCGGUGAAGCUGAGAUAUAAGCCCAGGUUUAUAUUUUUCCAUAAUUCAAGCCCUUAAUGAAUAUAAAGACAUUACUACGAUUAACAGCAACAUCUAACAUAUAAACUACGUAUCCGAGUAAGUGCUUUAUAUGUACCUAUUCAUUUAAAGUUUGCAACAACUCCGUGAGAUACACUAUUAUUAUAUUCAUUGUACAGAUGAGAAACUCAACACAAAGCAACUAUGUGCACUGCCCAUGGCCUUUGUCCAGUAAGUUACAAAGCCAGAAUGAAGUCACACCCAUUAGCCUUUACUGCUUUGUGAUGACCCUGUUAUCUGUGUGAUGUUUCAAUGACAAUUUAUACCAUAUAUUUAAUUUAUUCACUUCCUUUUAGAAACAAAUCUCUCUUUGACAACUCAGUUGUUGAAAUAUAAGAUGCCAGAGAAGCAGAAAGACAGCAGGGGGAAAAAAAUGCCCUUUCCAAAACAUGAAGAGCUGUAUUUCUUCCCUAGCAUCCGGUGAGUCAGUUCCAUCCCCUAUCAUAUUUAGCAUAUUGAAUGUCCCACCAUAUAGUUGAACAAUCUCAGUUCCCAAACACAGCCAAGAUGAUGAUUUCAUCCUCUGUUCCUUUGUUGGGAACUCGGUCUCCUCUUUAUACUUGAACAUGAAGUCAUCACAGUAGCCUUCCAGCCGUACCCUCUGCUCACUACUUCUGAAUUUGUAGAAUCUCUGUCUUGCAUGACCUGGAAUAACAACAACUCAGCACCUGCUCUCAAAGUGUUAAAGCGCCCAAUGUUCUCACCAGACGGAAAUCUGCAGAAUUCAGACAUGUCACCUAGGAUGAAAAAUAGGUUUAGUAAAGUUUUACAUUCGAAGUUUGAGUCUAACAAGAUUUGAUUACAUCCUAGACAUUUGCAGCUUCAGCAACUGCAGGAAGGCAGUACAAGGUGUCACUGGGUGGAAGAAAACCCAUAACAUGGUGUAGAUUUUCUAUAGAUUUAUGACCACACCUCAAGAUGGUGGAGUUAUAUUUUCCCUCAAAAAAAUCUUCUUUUACUCCUUUAUUUUUCCAUUCAGUAAUUCAACAUUUAUUUGGUAUCUGUGGCAUUGCUGGCUACUUUGCUGGGUGCCAGGAAUACCUAGUUCAGCAAGAUACUUUCAUUGUUUCGAAACUUAACAUCCUGUAGGGAAAAGAGAUAUUUAUAAAUUGCCAAACAUAUUGUAAAUAUUGUAGUGGACAACAGAAUACUUUGAGGUUAAGCUCAAAGAGUGACUAAUUUUAUAUUACAAAGUCAAGAAAAUGGUGGGAAAGGGAAUUUCAGAAAAGGAGAAUUUCAUGAAGGCAGAAAAACAUGAACAGGGCAAUCUUUUCAAAAGGGUGACACACUUUAGUGUGUCUGAAAGUAAGAACAGACAUAGGAACAGAGUAAGACAAAAGGAAAAUGUGGGUGAUGGGAAAGGCUAUAUAAUUAAUCUGUGCCUAAGAUGUUUCACAAUUAUUUACACUGAGGAAAUGGAAUUAUAAAAAAUGUGUAUGUAAAGGUGAAAAAGAAACAGUUAUUAACAAUGCUAACCUGGGAAUGCAGGAAAAUGGAAGAUUCUCAUGACUUAUUCUAUAAUCUUUCAUAUUAUUCUGAUUUUAUAAUGAGAAUAUAUUCAUAGAUCUGUAGUAGAGAUAAUUAAUCUAAUAAAUACAGAAUAGAAUAAUUUGGGGAAAGGUGGAAGAAAUAAGGAAAACUGUGAAAUAUAACAGGCCCUGGGGAAAGGAGAAACAACCAUUUCCCAAAUGUGGACGAUUAUUUUAAUGUAAUCAAAGAUAGGAAGUAGUGAGUAGAUUGUCAUAGUGCAGAGGGACUUCAGAAAGGAGAGGAGAUUACAAGGAGGUGGCCCAUGAAUAGGGAGUGGGACAGAUGCUAAUGGCUUUGGCAGAGUUAGAGACCAAGAGCCAAGUGGAUUGGAGAUGCUGGCUUUUGCUUUUGCUUGAGUUUGUCUUCCUGUUUUUGUCCCCAGCAUCUUAUCUCUUCCUGGGUUUCACUUUGUUUUGAAACCUUCCAGCAUUUUCCUUCUUUGUCUUCAGUCUGUCUCUCCUUUCACCCCUCCUGCCUUUACUCUUUUCACUCCAGCUCCUCCUAUUCUUUUUUUUAAAAAAUAUUUAUUUUUUAGUUGUAGUUGAACACAAUACCUUUAUUUUAUUUUUAUUUUUAUGUGUUGCUAAGGAUCGAACCCCAGGGCCUUGCACAUGCUAGGUGAGUGCUCUACCACUGAGCCACAACCCCAGCCGCAGCUCCUCCUAUUCUUAAGGCACAGGUUUGAGGUCUCCUUCCUCUACAUUCCUGUAGCAUUUGCUUUGAAUCCUCUCAAAGUGCCUGGCUUCCUGUGAACUCCAGUUAGUUUCAUCUGUGUAUUUCCAGGGGUGCUUCACAAGUAAGCCUCCAGUAACUGUGUUCAUUGGAAGAAAAUAAGAAGGUUAGGAAGGCAGAAAGGAAAAGCUAUCUCAGCUUGUUUUUCUAUAGAAAUCUGAUAAAAUUUAAUGCAUUUGUAUCUUCCCAACGGUCUUACCUUUAAAAGGAUAACAGCAUGAGUCAGAGGUCACGUAUUUCUCCAUCAUAAAACAACAACCCUGAGAGAAUAUCAGCUUAAAAACUAGCUGAAAAAUAAACACACAGGGAGGAGGGUUGAGCACUGAGAUCAGUGCUUUGAGAAGUGGAAACUCAGUGUGCCUGUCUGGACCAGGUACCAAGCAGCCCUAGCACUUUGAAUACUAUACGUCACACUUCUGAGUGGCAGCUCCUUCCCCUGUGAGAUGAGGAGCUUGGCUAGAAGUUCUCUAAAUUGUUUGACUUUGUGGUAGAGGGACAAGGAAAGGGUGCAAAGCUCUGACUCAUGAUUCCAGGAAAGGAAAGUAAGAGGAGGAGGAAUGUGUGUUCUGAGGCCAGGGCCAGGCCUCCAUCCUGGGCGCUGAUUUCUUAGUUUGUCCUCUGUACUUUUGCGUGUUUCUUUAAUGAGGCAAAGAGAAAAUAUUUAGAAUUAGUCUUGCAGCUUUUCCUCCUCAGUACCGAGGCUGGGAAUAAAAACAGCGAGUGAGAAAUAUUCUAAACAUAAUCGCUAGGAACCGAACGCUCUCAGAGGUAGUGAUCAUAUUGUCUACAGAAGUGAGAUAUGGCAAUGCAUGGCAUCCAUAGUUUUUCUUUCCUUUUUUUUUUUAAGUCACAUUUUCAUUUUUAUUAACUUUGUGAACAUUUUCUUCUGUAAUGAGAUAUUACAUUGUAAAUUGUCUAAUCUUCCUGUCCAUUGCUUUCCUAUGAGUUGGAAAUACAGUUGGCUCUCUGUAUUCAUCUGUAUUCUGUAUCCCUCUGUAUUCUGCAUCCAUAGAUUUAACCAACCGUGAAUUGAAAAUAUUCAGGGAAAAAAAAAACUGCACCUGUAUUGAACAUGUUAAGUCUUUUUCUUCUUGUCAUUAUUCCCUAAAUAAUACAAUACAACAACUAUUUGCAUAACAUUUACAUUGCAUUAGGUAUUCUAAGUAAUCCAGAGAUGAUUUAAAGUAUAUGAAAGUGUGGGCAUAGCAUCCUCAGUUCUUUAGGACCAAAGAUUUUCACAACAUUGCCCUCAAAAAUUGAAUGACAGGUGGUGUUUACUGUGGCUUCCUCAGAAACAUAGAUGACUGGGCUACUAGAGCUUAAUAAGAAUAAAUUUUUUAAAAUACCCAAGAAAUAAAAAUAAUAAUACAGUUUGCUAUGUUUCUGAGUAAGGGGAUACUUUACCAGUGAAACAUUGCACUGAGAAGUUGGCUGAGGGAAAAGAAUCAGGGUUUUAGUGGUAGAAACAGGAGGUUCAAUGUGGUUGGGGUAAUGAAGAAAUGAAACUAGCACUCUAGAUAAUGGAGAAGUAGUCUAUAGAUAAACACAGUUGAGUGGACUAAGUCUUCUUGUUUAUUGAUUAGGAAGGAGUCUCAAGAGUCAUUAGAAUCUGGUGAACCAGGAUCACUCCCUUAUCAGUGUCACUUGAUUUAACUCAGUUGUGAUAAAACUUUAGAUAGAUUUUAUAUUUCCUAGGCCAGUAUUCACAUGAACACAAAGCUUUCCUUUUACAUAAUUCAACCUCUUCCUUUUAGAAAUGGGACAACCAAGCAAGAAAUGGGUAAGCACUUUCCUGUUUGGAUGAUCUCAGCUGUGUCAGAAACCAACUCUUAUUUGACUCUUGAUGCCAGAAUGUUGCAUGACCUCAAUGACCCUGAACUCUCCCUCAGUUGAACUGUUUACUUCCUUCGUAUUAUGGGAACCUGGCCUGUGCUCCAAGUAAUUUGAAAGGAAUGUAAAGUUAUAAAGGAAAAUGAAAUGGGCUGCUACAAGAAAUAGAGACUCCCGGUAAUCUAGGUUGAUCAAAGGGCAGCGAGACAGUCACAUGGAAAACCACUGUAAAGAAAUAUCAAGCUUCAGAUCAGUGCUUGGAUGAGAUACCCCUUGUAAGCUGCCAUCUAAUUCUACAGCUCUGUGGUGAGUAACUUUGGGCCCUAUGUUAUCAUUACCCGAUUGUCUUCUCCUCCACCAUGAGCAAAAAUAAUGUCUGAUUCACAAAGUUCUGGAAUGUAGCAGAUGUUCAAUAAAUACCUAUUAAAUAACUGAAUAAGCCUAACAACUGUGAAGCAUUCAAUUGGAGAUCUCUUUGGAACGCUAGAUUGUAUUAUGGCUCUUUAUUUCAAAGAAACCCUCGUAUACUGUGGUCUAAACAAACCUAACAACUAACAUCUUCUAUUAUAGUCAGUGUGUGACUCUCUACACUGAUCUGGGGGUUGGGGAGCUGAGUUUAAAGAAAUAUUUUAGUUGCAAGAAAAAUGCACUAAAAUUAAAGUCUUCAUACUCUAAAAUGCCUCAGAGAUAAUUUUGUCUAAUCCCCCUAGUACACACUUUUUAGAGACAAGUAACUUGAAACCCACACAAAGGAUACAGUUUAACUUAAGUCCCCAGAUCACCAGGUCACAAAAAAUUCAGAAACUUUUUCAGUGAAUGGGACUACAAGGUGUGAUCUUUCCUAAGAUAAGAAAGAUUUAUUCCAGUCCUUUUGGUGCCUGGGGAAAGCUCCGUGAUUACAAACAGACACUCAGCUGCUCAAGAGGAAGCAGUUCACACACAUUUCUGACACUGAGAGUAUUGACUACAACGCCCCUGUGUCCCAGAAACAGCUGUUUAGUCUCCUCUGCUUCUGAAGCUACUUCCUGACUCAUUCUCUCAAAACCCAAUUGAGUCCUUAUCACCAUGCUCUAUUGCAAGUGAAGAUGGGGCUUCUGAUAUGGUUCAACCCUUCAAAGGUUUAUGGCCACUAACCUUGGUAAGGUAGCUGAUGGAAAAACUGAUAUCCUCUGCUCCUGCAUCCCUCCUGUCCUGCAGUACCCUGAGACUUUGCCAGGAGCUGUAUGGUGUCUGGUCUAUGGAAGUGUGGUUUGAGAGGCCCCAUCAGAGCAGGUGAAUCUAACCCUAACUGCUUAUUAGGGAGAUAAAAUGAUUUCCUUUACCAUUUACUCUUCCUUGAAUGAGGAAUCUCAAAAUGCUAGAGCCAAAGGGAACUCACACAUCAUCUUGUAUUUGUUGCUCACUUCACAAUUGUAGACAUGAGGCUCCAGACACACACCUUGAGGCAGAGACAGGGGGGUUUUCUGACUCCUGAAAUAUCUUCUCCAUGCUCUUCCACUUCCAUUAGCAACAUAAGAUUAUGAAGUCGCCAAGGUCCAAGUUCACCUUCAUAUGGGUUGAGAAACUGAGACCCUGAGGCUCAUUUAAUGUGUUCAGAAUCACACAUAUCUUAGACAGUAACCCAUUCACUGACAAAAAUGUGUUACCUUAUCAAUUUGGGGUCCAUCAAUGGGCUUCUGGGAUUGUCAUGAAUUGUGUGUGUGUGUGAAUAGUACAUCCAGAUUAUAUGCAAAAAGUGUGCAGUUUUCUGGCUGGACAUGGUGGCACAUGCCUGUCAUUCCAGUGGCAUGAGAGGCUGAGGUAUGAGGAUCGCAAGCUGAAAGCCAGCCUCAGCAAAAGUGAUGUGCUAAGCAACUCAGUGAGACCCUGUCUCUAAACGAAAUACAAAAUAGGGCUAGGGGUGUGGCUCAGUGUUUGAGUGCCUCUGAGUUCAAUCCCUAGUACCCCUCCCCAAACAAUGUGUAGUGUUCUGAGGGUGUUGAAAUAUGGAAAGCAGUUUGGAGAUUACUUGGAAAACUGGGAAUAGAACCACCAUUUGACCCAGCUAUCCCUCACCUCAGUAUAUACCCAAAGGACUUAAAAACAGCAUACUACAGGGACACAGCCACAUCAAUGUUUAUAGCAGCACAAUUCACAAUAGCUAAACUGUGGAGCCAAACCUAGAUGCCCUUCAAUGGAUGAAUGGAUUAAAAAAUGUGGCAUAUAUACACAAUGGAAUUUUACUUAGCAAUAAAAGAGAAUAAAAUCAUGGCAUUUGCAGGUAAAUGGAUGGUAUUGGAGAAGAUAAUGCUAAGUGAAGUUAGCCAAUUCCCAAACUAACAAAUGCCAAAUGUUUUCUCUGAUAUAAGGAGGCUGACUCAUAGUAGGGUAGGGAGGGGAAGCAUGAGAGGAAUCGAUGAAUUCUAGAUAGGGCAGAGGGGUGAGAGGGAAAGGGAGAGGGCAGGGGAUUAGCAAGGAUGGUGGAAUGUGAUGGACAUCAUUAUCCAAAGUACAUGUAUGAAGGCAUGAAUUGGGUGUCAACAUACUUUAUAUACAAACAGAUAUAUGAAAAAUUGUGGUAUAUAUGUGUAAUAAGAAGUGUAAUGCAAAAAAUAAAACAAAGUACAUAUAUGAAGACAUGAAUUGGUGUGAACAUACUUUAUAUACAAAUAUAUGAAAAAAUAUGCUUUAUAUGUGUAAUAAGAAUUGUAAUGCAUUCCGCUGUCAUGUAUUUAAAAAAAUAAAAUCAAUUAAACAAUUUUUUUUUCAAAAAAUAAAGGACUUUGCUGUUACAAUUUACCUGAUCCUUAAGGGCCACCAGAGCAUAUUUUUUCAAUGUCUGAAGAACAUACACAGGAGCAGUGUCUUAAAUUGUUGGGGAAAUUUUUCCUUGAGAAAAUAAUAUUUAUAUGAAAGACUCCACUUGAGAUGUUGUCAGCCACUUUAUGGGGAAGAGAAUUGAAGGAGAAGAGAGUGGAUAUUGAGACCAGAUAAGACAGUUUACUAUUCUGAUUUAUUUAUAUAUUGUAUCUUUAUAUUUUUAGCAGGAAAAGUCCUUGAGUUGUCCAUCUCCAGAAUAAUAGAAUCCUUGCCUCCUUGUCCUCAUCAAUCUCUGUACCAUAUUGAGUCCCAAAGAGUUAAAUUUGGGGACCAGAUAUGAAAUGACCUGGUUUAAAUUCAUACUCUGCUACUUGCUAAUUUAGUGACCUGCUUUAGGUUGCUAUUUCUUUUCAAACCCCAAUCUCCUAGAAAACUUUUUCAGUAGAUUGUAAUAAAAUGUUUUCUUAGUAUUGUCAGUUUAAGUCAUCUAUGUUAUGAAGAACUCAAUAAAGUAAAUAUAAAGGAAGUAGAUUAUAUAUUUACUUAAUCUAUAGAGCUCUUGUCAGUUGUGCAGGUUCUUUGGGGACCAGGAUUCUGGCUGGGAUAUUAACUUUCUGUUUGGUAUUGAACCAGUCAGCCUCCUCUGCCCCCAUCUCAGGAUUUACCUUUCCUUGUCUGAAAGUCCUUGCUCCUGUAUUUCUAGCUCUGACAUUGGGUUGUCUCUGCAUCUGUCUCAGAAGUCUCAUGGGGAUCUGUUGAAAUCAUUGCCAUUUCAUGAUUGCCCUACAGCAACACCUCGAAGAACUUUCUGCACAGUUCUUUGGCUUAAUCUCAAGCAAAACGCUCACGGGCCAAGAACUGAGUUGUUUUGUUGUUGUUGUUGUUGUUGUUGUUGUUGUUUUAGAAAGAACUCAAUCCCAACUAGACUGAGGGAGACAGAGGAAUGAUGAGUUGGGCUAUGAUCAUCAUGCUUCACUGUUUUGUAAUCUGCUUCUGGUUUUUAUCCUGACCAGCUCUAUGAGGGUAUGAAUCAUUUUUGUGAAAUCCCUCUAUUGAUACAGUUCCUGAUAAUUACAGAAUUGUUUGUAGAAACGUAUUUAAUUCUUCUAUUUGAACCUUGCAUUUUCAACUAGCAUUGCAAUAACUCUUUCUCAUGUGCUUAAAGUUUAUCCUGAAGGUGCUUAUUUGAUUGGACUCUUGACCCCAGUGUGCUAAUAUAACAGAAAAUUAGUUGAAGUUGUCACUAUCGUGAGUUUUUAGUCUUUGUAUCAUCAUGACCACCAAGAUACAGAGUGACUUAAAUUAUUCAUGGUAUAUUUAGUAGCAUAACUUUUUAUAUUACUGCCAGACAUACAGAAAGGUAAUUCAUUGUAUGUGGCAACUCCAUUUCUUGACCUUGGCAACUCCAUUUGGGGAUUUUAUUCUUUGUUGUGGAGGUGGGGAACUUUCCUGUGCAUUUUUACAUGUUUAGCACUGUCUCUGGUCUCUUCACGCUAGAUGCCAGUAACAUCCCUUUUGCCCAAGAUGAGUCAAACAACAAUGCCUUCUGCCUCCACACAUUUCCAAAUGCCUAGUUAAAAACAAACAAACAAACAACAACAACAACAAAAAAACCCACUGCCUUAAAUAAUCCCUUUUUCUGUUUAAGUUUUACGGUUCCUAUCUGGAAGAGAAAGUAUAUGCUUUACUCUAGGUGUCCUAAGGGUCUGAAUUGCUGUCCACUAAUAUCUAUAGUGCCAAAAGAUUCCUCUUAUUUUGUUAAUAUAAUAGAAAAGUAUUAUUUUUUUCUGUUAGAACUAUUUUGUUCUGCUACUAUUGCCCUUUGGGUUUUUAAAAUGUAAACUGUAUAAAAUGUAUUUAAAAUGUAAACUGGCCAGUUUUUGUUUUUUAAUUGGUGAGUAAUAAAAGCACAGACCAUCAUAGCUAGAACCAAACCAUCACAUAAAUCGUCAGGUCAUCUGGUGACAGACACUCACAUAUAAGAACGGAAAGAAAAUAAGCUUCUCAAUGUUAAAGUAACGAAUGGCAAGGACAAAACCUCAUGAUUUUUAACCAUUGUUGCCACAGUUCAAAUCUUGGUAUUAUUGUGGACUGUGGUUUCUGAAAGCAACUAUGAUCCUAUUAUUAUUUCUAGCCUCAUUUUACUUACAUACAGCAAUUGAGAGUUGACACCAAUAUGGCUGAUUAUUCAAACUCACCUAAGUUCAUUCACAUACUAGUGUUAUCUUCUUAAACGCUCUUUUUGGGGAUUUCAACAAAUACAAAACUUCUAUGGAUUUUACUUUCAUAAUGCAUGCCUCUUGGUUUUUCGUUUUCCCUUUCUUAUUUCCCUUACUUCUGUUCUCUGUUUAUUUAUCCCUGCCUUUCUUUCCUUCUCCUAUCCCCUCCCCCAGCCUUUUUUGUUUUUAUCUUUCCUUUCUUCUUCUUCUCCUUCUUUUCAUUUUAAAUGUAGGUUAUGUCUCAUUCCAAAGAAAUGUGACAUAACUUACACUCAAUAGGCUAAAAACAGGCAUAGUUAGAAAACAGAGCCUUUCCUCCUUGUGUAAGUGAAAGCGAAUUCUGCAUUAUUUUAAACUGCAAAGUAAGAAAAGCAUAAACAGUAUUAUAUGCAUGCACUUCAUUCCUGAACUUGAGAGGAGAAAUAGAAUAGUGGGGGCAGGAGCAGGGUUAGUACAGAAUCAUUGAUUCAGAAUCCAUCUAGAACUGGGAGAGGGAAAAAUACUAAAAUGCUGGGAGCAAUGACCACCAAAGCCACUCAAGCUGAAUGGCUGGUCUUUCUGCUGAAAUCCAUCUCAGUGUGUGUCCUCUCCACCUCCUUUAGGCAGACAGAACAUGGAUUAAAUCGCCAUGGAGAUUUAAUUAGCAAGUGCAUUGCACUCUAUUUAAUAUGAUCUCAAGGCCAGUACAAAAGACUGAUGUCCUUCCUGUAAAGGGGAAAGUUUCAGAAGAGUUUUCAGAAAAGAACUUAUUUGAACUACUUCUCCCCUAAACAAACAAACAACCCUCAUUAUUUUCAGAAUAACUAUGUCAUAGGUAUUCAUUACAUACAAUGUUUGAUUUAUAGCCUCUCUGCAACAUUCUCUCGUUUUAAGGCUUCACUGGUAAAGUAACAGGAAUAGACAAGAUGAUAGUUCCUCAGACUCCAGAAGUUUAUAUUUUAUUGCUGUUUAAAGAAAGGUGAUACAGUAAAUCAAAUAAAGUGAGGCUCUAAGUGUAUGCAUUUUAGAAUUCAAACUAACUCUUCCAAUUCCUUAUAAUAACCCACUAAAUGUUAGUUACUCAUCCCUGCAUUCAUGAAUACCCAGGAAAUAUUUUCCCUCAAAGGACACAUUAAUUGAAAACAAGGGAGAGAAGAACAAGGUGUGACCGUUUUUCUCUUUGAAGUAAACAUGGUAAAAAGCCUGAAGUAUCUGUCUUUGUUUGGGGAAUGAUAAUAGCUAAAUCCACAUGUGGUUUUGCAUUAGUAACCAACUACUUAUUUCACAAAGGACAGAAUACCAUGUCUGCUAAAAAGGAAUCAUUGAAUAAAUUUGGAAAGAGGCAAUUUAUUUGUAUUUGUACUAAUCUACAAGGCAAGAGAAUUGUGAUAGAAAUUAGGUUUUUGCUUUUGGCUUACUUGAAUGGAUGAGGUCAUAUAGUCAAAUGGAAAGCCAUGCAAGGUAGUGAUCAAGAGCAGAGAAUGUAAUUGAUAGGUUUGUGGUCCUUAGCUCUGUAAUCUUAAAUCAGAUUGAGUUCCCUCCCAGUACUGGUUUUCUUAACUAUAAAAUAUGGGUGACAGAUAUGGAUAAUAUAUACCUCUAGGCCUCACAAGGUUGUUGGGAAGGUCCACUGAAUUUACUUAAUUCCAAUAUACCUGUAUAGUGUUCAGAAUUGUUAAAAAGAAACCUGUGGAAAACAAUUUUAUCAACUAAAUAUUGGGCUUAUGUUCAGUUCCUUUUGCCUUAAGUCUUAUGGACUCUACUAAUUUCCAGAGUUUCUUAGAUUAAGACCUUUCCCCCUCCAUCUCUAUAGUGAAGUUGUUUCAUAAGUUUGUAAUACAGUGACAUUGUUUAGUCACAUUCAGUAUCACCUUCCAGAAUGUCAUAUAAUCGUAAUCAUACACUAUAUAUUGUUUUUAGAUCUGUUCCUUCACUUUGCAAUAUACAUUUAAGAUUCCUUCAUAUCUUUUUAUGGUUUUUAUGAUCAUGCAUUUCUUUUUUUGGAGGGAGGGAGCGGGUACCAGGGAUUGAACUCAGAGGCACUCAAUCACUAAGCCACAUUCCCAGCUCUAUUUAUUUGGAGAUAGGGUCUUACUGAGUUGUUUAGUACCUUGCAUUUUGCUGAAGCUGGCUUUGAACUCGCGAUCCUUUUGUCUCAGCUGCCUGAGCCACCACACCCAGCCAUAGGUUUCUUUUUAUUGCUGAAAAAUGCACUAUAAUAUAUUCUGUAGAAUGAAUAACAGCAUAAUGAAUAUGGCAUUCAUUCACCUAUUGAAAGACACCUUGGUUGCUUUAAAUUUGGGGAAUAAAUUGCUCCAAACAUUUCCAUGCACAUUCUUAUGUAUAAAUAGUUUUCAAAUCAUUUGGGUAAUAUUUAGAAGCAGGAUGGCUGGAUCUUAUAGUAAGGCAACAUUUAGCUUACUAAGAAUACUGUCAAACUGUUUUCAAGAGUGCAUGUACCAUUUUGCAUUCCCACCACCAAUGAAUGAGUGUUCCUACCGCUUCACAUCUUCACCAGCAAUCAGAUGGCAGUUUGGGCAGUCAUGCUUUGUUUAGAUUUUAACCAUUAUAGUAUAGUAUAGUGUAGAGUGGUAUCUUCCUGUUUUAAUUUGAAUUUUUCUAAUGAGGGAGGAUGUUAGGCAUCUUUUCAUAUGCUUAUUUUUCUUCUGUAUGUAGACCUUGUUGAGGUAUCUGUUCUCAUCUUUUGCCCAUUUAAAAAUUUGGUUUUACAUUGUUGAGUUUUAGUUCUAUAUUGCUUUAUAUUGAAUUGUAUAUUUUGGAUAAAGAUGUUUUAUCCACUGCAUUAGUAGUAGUAGUACUAGUACCAGUGAUUGAACCGAGGGGUGCUUCACCACUGAGCUACAUUCCCAGCUCUUUUUUUAUAUUUUAUUUAGAUACAGGGUCUUGCUGUUUUGCUUAGGGCCUCACUAAGUUGCUGAAGACAGCUUUGAACUCCAAUCCUCCUGCCUCAACCUCACGAGCCACUGAGAUAUCCGUUGUAUUUUUUUGCAAGCACUUUCUCUCAGCCUGUGGCCAUUAACAGUUUCCUUCAUAAAGCAGUAUUAAUUUUAGUAAAAUUUACCUUGCAGUUAUUUUCUUUUAGAGAUUACUAUUAGAUGUUUACCUAAAAAUUCAUUUCCAAACUCCAAAUCGUCUACAUUUUUUUCCAUAUUUUCUUCUAUAAAUUUUGUACAUAUUUUUAAAAAUUACUUUUAGUUCUACCAUCCAUUUUGAGAUAAUUUUGUGGAAGUUGUAAGGCCUAUGUUAAAGUUCAUUUUUUGGCAUUUGGAUGUCAAAUGUUACAAUGCUAUUUGUUGAAACAGUAAUUUUUCCAUUGAAGAUGUUCUACUUCUUCCUCUAAAGUUAAUUAAUGAUAUUUGUAUUAGUCUAUAUUUGAACCCUUUAUUCUGCUACUUUGAUCUAAUAUGUGAAUUAUUUUGCCAAUAUCACACAUCUUAAUUAUUGUAGCUUUACAAAAUGUUUUGAAGUCAAGUAGAGUGAAUCCUCUAAUUUUGUUCUUCAGUAUUGUGUGGAUUGUUAUUAAUCUUUCAUCUUUCCACGUGUUUUAGAAUCAAUAUACCAAUAUCUAAAUAAUAACUUUACAGGAUUUUAGUUUGGAAUAUGUUAAGUUUAUAUAUCCAGUUAAGAAGAACUAACGUGUAGAGAAUAUUCAGUCUUCUAGUUCAUAAAAACAAAAUCUCCAGAUUUAUUUAGAUCUUUCUUGAUUUUUUUUAUCAGUUUGGAAUUUUGUUGCAUGUGGAUUCUGUAUUUUGUUAGUUUUACACUUAAAUAUUUCUCUCUUUUUUUUAGGGCUGUCAUAGAACUUUAUAAAUUUUAACUCUCAAUUGCUUAUUACUGAUACAAAGGGAAACAACUUUUAUAUACCAACUUUGUCUUUUAUGAUCUUAUUGUAGUGGCUUAUUAAAUGAAGUUUUUCACAGAUUCUUUAGGACUUUUUAUAUAAACAAUCAAGUCAUUUGUGAAUAUAAGCAGCUUUAUUUCUUUCUUCCAAAUUUCAGGGUUUUUUUCUAUGUUUUGCUGAUCUUACUCCAUUUUUUAGGGUUUCCAGAGCAGCAUUGGAUAGGAUUGAUGCCUGCAUACAUUCUUGCUUUUGUCCCAAUCUUAGCAUCUUAGGGUACAUCUAAUUUCUUGCCAUCACAUGGGUUAGCUGUGUGUGUUUUGUAGAUGUUAUUUGUCAAAUUGAGGCAGUUCCCUAUAUUCCUAGUUUCCUGAGACUUUUUAUCAUACUGGGGUAUUAGAUGUUGUUAAAUGUUUUUUUUCUCCCUCAAUUAACAUGAUCAUAUAAUGUUUCUUCUUUAGCCUGUUUGUGGUCAAAUUUCUAAAAGUUUAAAUUGAAACAUCCCUAGAGCUACAAUAACUGGUCCUUUCAGUAUUUUCCUCAGUUUGUCUCACCUCAAUUGGAGGUGAAAUCAUUUCUUCAUUAAGACAUAGGCUCUAGGUUAUUCCUCAAAAGGGGAACAUAGAGUAGUUCAUGAUAAUUUCUAAAACCAAAAUGCCUGAGUUUCCAGUAAGCUUUACUUUUUAAAAAUAUAUACAAAAUGAAUAUAUAUGUAUAUUAUAUAUAUUUCAGUUGUAGAUGAACACAAUACCUUUAUUUUAUUUAUUUAUUUUUAUGUGGUCCCAGUAUCUCAUACGUGCUAGGCAAGUGCUAUACUACUGAGCCACAAACCUGGCCCAGCUUUACAUUUGAAUUAGAUAUGAAACCAUACAAAGAUUAUUCUUUCCUUGACCUAUCUAUAAAUAGAUUAGUAAUAGAACUUGCUUUAUGAGGAUUAAAUAUGCUAAUGCACAUAAUGUUCUUAGAAGAGUAUAUGAAUGGUAGUAAAUUUUAUUUAAAAAAUUAUUACUGUGUCUCUAUAUUGCUUGGCACAUUAUCUUUCGUAUUUGAUAAUGAUCUAUAGAUUUUAUUAAAAUAAAAUUAUAUUUAAAUUGCUACUCAAGAUAGUUUUACAAAAUAUUUCAAUAAUUGAUACCACUUUUUUUGAUGGAGUACUACUACAUUGUGAAAGUGAUAGUGUCUAAUACAAAGGGCAGUAUCUAUUAUAUGUGUCUCAUAAAAAUUCUGUUGGAAUAAAAAGGAAUAAUAGACAUUAAUGCAAGUGAAUGAAAGCAAACUGUUUUUGAACACUUAUCAAGUGCUAACCAUGGUUAGCUCCCAGGCACACCAUGAUGAAAUAUUUAGCCUGGUUCUUGCUCACAGAGCUCACAUUCUUGUGGGAAUGGAAGGUAUCAGUUUUCUUGUCAAUUCUUUCCUCUAUCAGUAGAUAAAGCAUCCUCUCUAUCCCAAGUGCUGCAAAUUCACUGCCUCAUUUUAACACUUAACAAUCACCUUUAGCAGUUACUUUUAUUUAUUUAUUCGUUUAUUUAUUUAGCCAUACUGAGAAUUGAACCUGGGCCUUGCACUUGCUAAGGAAGUGCUCUAUCAUUGAGCUAAAUCUCUAGCCCUUUUAAAAAAAUUUUUUUUGUUUUGAGAGAAGGCUUUACUAAAUUGCAAGAGGCUAGCCUUGAACUUGGAAUCCUGCUGUCUCAGCCUCCUGAGUGUUUGAUAUUAUAGCUGUGUACUACCUCAUCCAGCUGAAAGGUGCUAUUAGCACUCAUUUUGCUGAUGAGAAAACUAAGACACUGGUUGAGAUUUGCUUCCAGUCACAAAAUUAAUGAAUGAUCUACAAUCACUUCUCCUCACGCAAUGUCAUUGCUCUUUAUAUGCAAUUCUCCACCUUCUACCCCCCAACAUGAUGUAUGGCGAAAUUAUUUUUUUUUAACUUUUUACCUAUUAAAUGUGAACUAAAAACUCAAAUUAAAAGUUUGGACAUGAGGUUGGGUGUGAAAUUCAGUGAUAGUGCAUGUGAUUGGUAUGUAUGGGGUCCUGAUUCAAAUAAUAAUAAUAGCAUCAAAUAAUAAUAAGAUAAUAAUAAGAUACUUUGCAUGGGGUUGAAGAGGCACCUAGAGACUUCAUUCAAAUGAUGAUAAAACAUCAAAUUUGAAUGCAAGUAUUAUCAAUUAAAAAUCUAGUUGUAAAUUGUUUUGUCCAAACCAGUGAUAUAAAGAUUCUAGAGUGACUAAAUUUUAGAAAAUAGAAAUUACCUGAACUUUAUCAACUUAGGUUUGAGGUCUUUGGGUAUAAAAUGGCAUCAGAUAUGUGUUUUUAACAAAACUCCUGGAGUUUUGCAAAACUAUAAAUCUACAUCUCCUGACAAAGCUUUAUGCAUAGCAGCAUUGAUUUUUGUUGAAAGUUGACUCUGUUAUUAUAGAGAAGUUAAAUUCAUCUGUUGACUUGAAAGGAAAAGAAUAAGAAAGUAAUCUUCAUAUUUAAAUUAUAAUAUUAAGUAAUUAAUGAAGCUUGAGUUAUAAUUCCUUACGCAAAUAUUUACCAAUUCAGAUUUUAACUACUAGAGGAAUGGCUUUUAGGUUAUCUCAGCUUUGGCCAUAUCUUGUUUUAGAAACAGACAGGUUAUAUGUGCUGACGUUGUUUGGUGACGAGGGAACACUUGUCUGAUUGUGGUGCUGAGUAGAUAAAUCCCCUUGUACCUUUUAGAAGUCUUAGACGCUUAAUCUGCAUGGACAUUUGAAGUGUCUGGAGUGAGCCUCGCUAAAAGCUAGACGAACAGGUUGUGCAAUAACUUGAGGUUAAAUGUCUUCCCAGAGGCUCCUGAAGAUGAUCCUUUUGAUUUUUCUAAUUGAUGUUGUUAAACAGCAGCUGUAGGGCAGCACUAUGAAGAGCAAGAAGACUAGUAGGAAGGUUUUCUGAUAUAUAGCUGCAUCUUAAAUUGUUCAGGCAUUAAGAAGAAAUGGUGCCGUCCUGCAGAGAUUCAUUUCGACAGGCAUUUCUUCACUACUGCACUAUGAGCCAGGCCCAAUGUUUGGGGCUCCUCUGGGCUUGGUCUCAUUUGACUCUCACCCUAACACUGCCUUAUAAGAGUUUAUUAUUAUCUCAGAAUUACAGAUAAGAAAUGGAAGCCCCAUGGGAUGAGGGCCAAUAAAUGACAUGUCAAAUUUCUAGAUGCAAGUUCAGGAACUUUAAUAUGAGGCAGAUAGACACCAUAGCAAGAAAGUGGCAUUUUCAGGAUCAUAGGUGCACAGGAACAACUGCCUAGGGCAGUUCUGACACACUAACAGUCUCUGUCCUUUGCUGUGACAGGUAAAACCUUAAAACCAAUGUGCUCUAAUGAAAGAAGUGAUACACAGAGAUCUGGAGACAGGAAUGUCUAGUAGCACCACCUACUCCACUUCUUGAAGUCAAGAUAGUGAGUUCUUUUAUAUCACCUAACAAUUACAGGGACAAUUUUAGGGGUGAUUGUGGUACUGGAAACAAUCCCAGCAUUCUAUGCUAGGAGUGUAAGACUUGAGUCAUAUUACUAUCACACAAAUCUUUUUGAAAGUUAAUAUAUCACAGAACUUAUGCUAAUAUAUCCUCGUUAGGCAGAUUACUAAAGCCUAUCCAAACUAGAACAUAUGUGAUAUGUGAUUUCUGAAGGGGUAAGUAAUAUUGGUUUCCACAUUUUCUAAAAUAAAUGACUUUGAAGCUAGGAAUUGGAAUUGGUUACUUAUAGUGACAAGAUGAAAUUUGGGACUCUUCUAUUUCCAUGGCUUAUGAUGAAGGAGUUUGAAUAACAAAAGACCUUGAAAAUUGUCAGGUUUAAAGCAUCCUUUUGCUGCUAGCUUAUUGGCUCCUUAGGGUAAGUUAUAAAAACAUUUUAGGUCUCAGUUUCCUAAUUUGAAAAAGAAGAAAAUAAAUUAUGCCUGUUUCAUGGUUAAUAAAUAUUAAAUAAUAUUAAUAAUAAUAUUUAUUAUUUAAUAUAUAUGAAAAUAUAUAUUAAAUAAUAAAUAUUAUUGAAAUAUAUAUGAAACUAUUUUGAGUCUAGUACAGAAUCAGCUUCAAUGUUAUUGAGUAUUAUUUUUAUUUCUAUCAUUGCUAUUCCUAUUAUUGCAUUACAUUUGAACAAAACCCUCGUAUUUCGAAGAUACCAUUCCACUUGUUGCUCCUCACCAGUUAUGUAUAGCAUAAUUGUGAAGAUAUAAAGGUUAUAAAAAUGCUUCUUUUUAGUGUUCUUAAGGACCAUAAUAGAUGGAAAGAGUACUAAUAGAGUAGAAAUGUAAGUGAGGUGUACCCCACAUGAAUGAGCAGUCAGAAGACAAAAGUCCAACUGAGUAUUAGCAACCACCUUUUAGGAACCUGGAGAUAAGGGUAAGUGAGAACUGAUUGGCAGUAACUUAAGGAUGUAUACCACCUUUAAGCUCACCAGAAAUGUGAGAGGAAUGUAAAACAGAAAUGAUUUGGAUAAUAUUCACUCCGCAGAAAAUGGAAGCAAAAAUUUCAUAGAUUCAGCAGGUCCUGUAGAAAGAGACCUAGACUUGAACUUGCAUACAGAAUUCAAACCCUUUUCUGUCAUUUACUAGUUAAGUGAUCCUGGAUGGCUUACUCAUUGUCUCUGUACUCUGGUUUUGUGAAAUCAGGGGCAAUAAUGCCUGACACUCAGUCGUUUUCAUGAAUAUUACUUGAAUCACCCAUGAAUCUGAAGUACUUCCAAUUUGUUUCUAGUUCUUCCUCCUUUUUCUUCUUUUCCUAUGUAGAUGAAUACCAUGUGCACAAUUUAGCCUUAAUAGAUUAAUAGAUUUAAGUGCGUGCCUUUCUUGCAAGUUUGAAAUUUUUGAGGACAAGUGCAUUAUUUGGAGGAGACCUGGGACCUCCCUAAUAGUAUUGGAUUGGCCAAAGAACUCCUCAAAUUAGCACCGAAGGGCCUAUGCUUGACACUGGUCCUGCUGAAUUGGCCUUUGGGGGUUCCUUGGUUCUGGAACUACAUUAGUGGGUUAUUCACUAAGCUUCCAGUGGGUUCUUGUUGUUUUAGUAGCUUCCCGGGGGAAUUAAAGGUUUUAACUGAAUGUGAAACAUCAGACAGAAACUGUGGGGAAGAUUUAUUGAAUGAAUCUCAACUUUCCAAAGGUUCAUUUGAAACCAACUUCCUUGUAAGCCAAAAUGAUUCAGAUUUGAAACCCUCCAGGGGCCUCUCUGGAACUUGAGGGCAUUAGGGAGCUUUUGCUGGCUGUCAUAGAUUAUCUCUCCAUUGUUUCUUGACUUGUAGAAGGGGAAGUUUGAUUGGUAAGUCGCCUCUUCCCUAAGGCCUGAAAUUCUUUACUCAUUCAGAAGUUAAGUAGGACUCUGACAGUGCAUUCCACAAAGCUUUCUACCCUGCCUUGGUCCCAAGGCAACCAGUGGGGGCCCUGCCAAGGGUGUGAUGAGCAGGGCAGAUGCCACAGGAAAGAGCCAAAGGAGAAAGCCACAGCUGAACAGUGCAGAAGGUUACUAUGUCCACCACACUGUCUUUAACAAGGUAAUAAUAUGGGGACUCAGUGAACCACAAAACACAGACUUGAAUUUGAGUCUUAAGCUCUGUUUUUCCAAAGUAAUCUUGGGAAAGCUCUCUAAUGUUCAUUUUUCUUUUCUGUAAAGUUUCUGAAAUAAUUCCUAUCUUAAACUGUUACUGAUAUUAUUGGAAAUGAAGCAAGUAUAAAUAGCAGGAAGCUAAUAAAUUACAUCCUUAAGACAGCUGCUAGGCACUGACUUGGAUAAUGCUUGCCAGGCAUCAUACUCUGUACUUCACGUGCAUUAUAUCACAUGUGUUCCUCCAGAGAUGUAUACAAUAGGUGUCAUUAUCAUUUCCAUUUUGUAGAUGAGGAAAACAAGUUUUGAUGAGGCUAAGUCAUUUUUUUCCCAACUUGCUGGUGGGACCCAAAGCCCACCCCAUGUUCUUAAGCCCUUGUCACUGAUGCCAUGUUAUGACUACUCAACCAGAAGGUUUGUCUAAAUGAAAGUAAAAGAAAUGGCAACCAACUGCCAGUGCAUUAGGGUUUGCAUGUGAUGGGCUUAAGAGAAAAGGUGAAGAGGGGCAGGUUUUUCAGAUUUUACAUAAAAGUAGUUUUCCAAAUCCAGAUCCUUAAAUCCUAAAACAAACAGGCAGGAGGUACAGUAACACUCCAUAUUUUGAUCCUGCAUUGUCAUUGCUGGACAAGGGAAUUUUUAACUCUGAUACUUUAUCUUUUUCUCUAAGAAGGCAAUAGAAGCCCAGAAAAAAAGGUCAGGACUUACCCAGAGUCCCAAGAUGAGCUGUUGGGAAAACUGAGCCAGAACAAAAACCUCUCCCGCCCUGGUCCUCCCCACCUCUGAAGGAGGAAGUGCAGUCACUGAGAUAGAGUCCAGAUCUGUAAUAAAAAUCCAUCCACUGCAAAGGACCACACAUUACUGUGAAUAAAAGGCAUUUUGUCUUUAACUCUCCCAGAGAACAUUUCUCUGUGUUCACGUUUGGACAACCAACCUAUAUUCAUCCCCUUUCCAACUACCAUCUUGAUUUUCCUUACACUUCAUUCCAGUUCUGUGCAGUUGGCUGGAUGAUAAAAGUCACAGUGGUGGCAAAAGAGUCCUUUGAUGCAUGUGUCUGUGCAUGUAGGGUGCCUCAUGGGGUGUCUGUCCUGCUCUGACUUAAAAGAUUAAGUGGUGAGGUCAGAUUGGCUGGUGUUAUUUUUCUUUGCCAAAUGUUCUUUUUCUGGUUCUCUGCACGAUAAUAUUGAAUUGUCUUUGCAAACCUCAAUUUCCAUUACUUCCCUUGUGAAGCCACCCAUAACUUACAAGUGGUUCCUUUAGCUUUCUGGAGAGUCUGAUAGUUACAUAACAUCUACCUGUUAUUCAGCUCUCAGUUUAAAUGUCUGCCUCUCAGGGAAAUGUACCUGAUAUCAGCCCCGCUAACCCAUACUUUCAUUGUACCCUCUGUUCUUUUCUUCAUGAAUUUCAUGAUAGUAAUUACUGUGCUUGACCCAAGUCUGUCCUGCCUCACAAGACUACAAGUCCAAGGAAGAACAAGACCUUAUUUUUUUUCCUGAGGCUCUGUUUUUUCAUAGCACAGAACAGACUCUUGAUAAAUAUUCCUUGACUGUAAGAGUAGUGUGUAUCACUUUGCGUUUAUCACUUAGUAUUUUAUGUAACUUCCCACACAUUUGGAACUCUCCCCAAAUUUUGUUUUCUUAGAGUUAAACAAAAUGGUGGGGACAACUAGAAAACACACACACACAAAAAAAAAAUUAUAGAAAGGUUUGAAAGUAUAAAAUAAAUAAAAAAUGCUAAAUUCCCUUGCCAUUAGAAGUUUCAUAAAAUCUGAUAAAUCCAGCCAACUAGCAAAAAAAGAUUUCCUAGGAGUGGCUUAUCACUUCUCCUUAGAGGAAAAGUAUAAAAGUCAUAGUAAUCUAGUGUUCAAAAUAUUUGUAAAAUACUGUGAUUUUUAAACUAUAUUUUCCAAGAAAUAUGACUGCCCUCAAGUACUUUCCAUUUUUAUACUUAUUGUUAUCAUGACAAAUUUGAUUUAGUGAUUAGUAGCUUGGGCUUUUCAAUGCCCUAUCUUUUUGGAAAGCUGAUAACAUAGGCACAAAAGCUUGGACUUUUCUAUCAGAAUGAGUUAUGUCUCAGCUUCUCUUACCAGAUGUGUCCUUCAGGCAAGCCAGCCUGAGCCUCAGCUUCCUUAAGUGAUAAAUGAGGAUAAUAAUAAAACCUUGUUUGCAGGAUUAGUGUAAGGUUAAAUGAGAUAAAGCACAGUGUUUAGCAUAACGUGGUAAGUGGUGAGUAUCUGUGAACCAAAAGCAAACCAAAAAAGACUAUCUUAUAAUCUGAAUUUCUCAAGAAAAUGAUCUCACAGUAGCAGAUAUUUUAUUCUUUGAAAAGUUUAGGACUUGUAGCUGCUCAUCAAAAGAAACAAUCAAUGAAGUGAACAGAGGGCCCCCUUUUGGGGAGCAAAUUUUUGCCACACACAUGUCAGAUAGAGCACUAAUCUCCAGUAUAUAUAAGUAAUUAAAAAAACUUAACAUAAAAAAACCAAAUAACCCAAUCAAUAAAUGGGCUAAGGAGCUGAACAGACACUUCUCAGAAGAAGAUGUACAUACAUUCAGUUAACAAAUAUAUGAAAAAAUGUUCAACAUCUCUAGUAAUUAGAGAAAUGCAAAUCAAAACUACUCUAAGAUUUCCUCUCACGCCAGUCAGAAUAGCAGUUAUCAAACAUACACACAACAAUAAAUGUUGGUGAGGAUGUGGGGGAAAGGCACACUCAUACAUUGCUGGUGGGACUUCAAAUUGGUUCAACCAAUCUGGAAAACAAUAUGGAGAUUCCUUAGAAAACUUGGAAUGAAACCACCAUUUGACCCAGCUAUCUCACUCCUCGGUCUAUACUUUAAAGACUUAAGAACAGCAUACUACAGUAACACAACCACUUCAAUGUUUAUAGCAGCACAAUUCACAAUAGCUAAACUGUGGAAGCAACCUAGACACCUUUUAAUAGAUGAAUGAAUAAAGAAAUUCUGGUGCAUAUACACAAUAGAAUAUUACUCAGUAUUAAAAGAUAAUAAAAUGAUGACAUUUGCAGGUAAAUGGAUGGAGCUGGAGAAUAUCAUGCUAAGCUAAAUAAGCCAAACGCAAAAAAACAGGAGGUGAAUGUUUUCUCUGAUAAGUGGAUGCUUAUCCAUAUGGGGGGGGUAUGGGAUAAGUGGAUUGGACAAAUGGGGGAAUGGGGGCAAAGAGGAAGGAAAGAUAAUGGAAUGAGAUGUAGUGAGAUGGAGGUCAUUACUCUAGGUAUAUGUAUGAUUGCAUGAAUGGAGUGACUCUACUUCAUGUACAACUAAAGAAGUGAGAAAUUCUGCUCCAUUUGUGUGCAAUAAAUCAAAGAGCUUUCUACUGUCAUGUAUAAAACUAAUAAAAAUUUGUUUAGGACUUGUAUGUAGCUCAAGGGUAGAGUCGGUGGUUAGUCCAAAGGCCAGGGUUCAAUCCCCAGCACCAAAAUAAAUAAAUAAAUAGAUAGAACCAGCAACAACAAAAGCAUUUAAAACUGUGUGUGUGUGUGUGCAUGUGUGUGUGUUUAAGGAUUAUUUAGCAGGUAAAAAUGAAAUUAUGUAGAUGUAAGUCAUCUAUCUUGACUGAUGUUUGGAACAUUAAUUCUAUUCAGUGUGCAAUAUAUACACCUUCAAAUAAUUAAUAUUAUGUCAAAUACCAAGUUAUUCCAUAAAAUUAUUCCAUACUGUAAAAUCCUAAUCUGUAUUAGGAAUAUCAUGACCACAUAGGUGGCAUCCUCGCUGCAAGGUAGUUGAAUUUAUGAAUUGCUACAUAUUUUUACAGACCAGAAAUAUCAAGGCACUGCUAGGAGUGAACAUAAGGAAUAUAGAAAGCAAGGACUGGGGCUGGGGAUGUGGCUCAAGCGGUAGUGCGCUCGCCUGGCAUGCGUGUGGCCCUCAGCACCACAUACAAACAAAGAUGUUGUGUCUGCCCAAAACUGAAAAAUAAAUACUGAAAUUCUCUCUCUCUCUAUCUCUCUCUUUAAAAAAAAAAAGAAAGCAAGGACUUACUUUUGUUCUGACAUGGAAUCCUUGAGCAAAGAAAUGUCACUAUGUGAGUCUUGGUUUUCUUAUUAAGGAAAAGAGAGAGUUGUCCUGUGUUUUUCAUCUUUCUUCCCCUUACUUUUAAGAUUUUGCUUCCAAUAAAUUUUACUAAGAAACAAAUACAGCUUAAAUGAAUAAAAUCCUGGCUGAUGAUCUUGAUGGGGAUAGAUUAAAAAAAAAGAAAGAAAGAAACAGAGGAAAAGGCACUGGACAAGCUUAUCUCUAAGGCUCCUCUUCUAUCUUAACAUUCUACAAUCUGCUAACCUGGGAGUUUCACUCUUGAUUACACAUUAGAAAUCACGCAGGGAGUUUGUGAUAAAUAUUGAUGUUCUAACCCAACCCCUCAAUAUUAUGAAUUAAUGAAUAUGGGUUGCAGCCUAGCCCUGGUUAAAAAAAAAAAUUUUUUUACAGCUUUUCAAUUGAUUCUAACAUGCAUCCAGGGAGUUAAAUAAAUGUAUUCAUACUCAGACACACCCCUUCUCCCCACCCUCCCAUAUGAAUCUAAAGAUGGAACACUGAAAUGACUAAUAUAGUUCAGUGAGAUGAUUGGAAAUAUUUAAACAUACAUGUAAUUUUAAAAGAUGUUGCUAUAGAAUAAAUGACUAGAUCACAUAAAAAUGGUGAUCAUGUUGUCUCUUCUGUCUUUUAAGUUUCAGUGUUGUUCAUUCUUAGAUAUGGUUGGUGAUAUCUGCUACAAGUCCUUUCUACAUGAAUUAUGAUACCUUAGCUCAUUGCCACCUUUCUUUCCUGGAGCAGGCAGUCUCUCUUUCCCAAGUUAAACCAGAACCUUUAGGAGGUGGAAGAGCAUGUGGAGUUUUUAAAAACAUGUGCUUUAUAAUAUACAAAUUUGCAUUUGGAAAAUCAAAAUGGGAUCUGUUGCUUUCAAGAUGUAUAGAAGAAAAAUCCUCUUGGGAAUAAAUUGGAUUAUCCAGAUUUUUUGUAUGUCAAAAAGUAGAAAAGACCACUGGUUUAGACCUGAAAAGAUACAACUGCCUCCUUAAAUUGCUCAUAUUAGGGAGAAAAUACCCAUGAAUCAUGAAUUAAUAAUACUACCACUUUUUUUUAACAAUAGCAAUGACACUUUAGGGUCUUCAGACAUCCAAAUGGAAGGCUAAGAUUAUUGUGACUUACAGAACUAAAAAAUAAUUUAUUAAUUCUGUAUUGCUACUCCAAAUAUAAUGUCCACCAGGGCAUGGACCUCUCCCACCAUGUCACAUUGUAAUAUUUCACAAAUGCUUCUUUGCUUUAGCUCAUCAGUCCCCUCAUCCUUAUAAAUAGCACACAGAAUGACAAUUAUGUCAACCAUUAUCUUGCACAAAAAUAUAUAUUUAUGUAUAUAUUUUAUAUAUAGUUUUAUAUAUGAUGUGUGGGGGGGUAGGUGUGUGUGAGAGAGAGAAAAAAAAAAUGGAUUGGCAGACCCUAGUUCUUAAUUCUGCUUUUCCCUGUACUGGAGACCAUUCCUCUUGUCUGCCAGUGAGCUCUUAGCAUCUUGUGACAUUCAACUAUACAUCUGACACUGGGGUACCUAUUCUCCAUCCAACACCAAUAAAUCAGAAUUAGCUAGCUCCUACGUAUCAGUCAGGUGAAAGACAAAACUCUGUAAGACCAAAAAACACAGGUUAUCACCAGCCUUGGUAGAUAAGGACCAGAGAGAAGUCUUGCAACAUAACAAUGUAGAAGCAGUUCAGACACUACACUCCUGCUAUUUCAAUGGAAAACCAAAUAGGCAUCCAGAACUGAGGAGGAACCAUCCUCAACCUCUUACAUGUAAUUUAUUUAAUGUAUAAAAAGACUCCCACACUGUAUAGUAGAUUUUACUUUAUUUUGUUUUGGUGGUUUGAAAGCAUUAUUUCUAGCUCACGUAAGAUUUCUGUAGUAUGUGUGCAGAUUCAGCAUUUUAGUUUUGUUGAUAAUUGUUCUCAACAUUGAUUGCAUUUAGAACCAUAUGAUCAUGUUUUAUAAUACUAUUUUAUGAUAACGUUAUCUAAAAAUAUUAUCUUUUAAAAAGCAUCUGUUAGUUUUAUAACUGAAAUUAAACAUUUCUAUUUUCCUAUGCCCUUUCAAAAAUCUAACUAGAUGCCUGCAUAAUAUUUACAUAUAUGUAAUCACAGCACAGAUAAAAUAAUAUUUCUUAAAUUUAUUCUAUAUGCAUUUUUUAAAUGUGCGACAGUGUGAUCACUUUAAUAACAUUGUAUUAUGUAGAUUUGCCGGGAUUUACUAAAACCAAUAUUUUAUGUUCACUUUUAGGUGUUACAUAUUUUUACUAUUAUUAAAAAAAAUCUACAGUCACCAUCUAUGUACAUUUGUGAUUUUUGUUUUUUAAAAAUUUACUUUAGUGAUAAUUCUAGACAUAGGUUUGCUGUGUCAGAGGCUAUACAUUUAUAGCUAUAGCAUAAUCAAAUUUUCAUUCUCUUACAUAUUUCAUGAUAUAACCUUACUAAGUAGAAUAACACUAAUUAAAACUUUAGAUCAUUAUCCUAGAAAAUGAUUACUUUAAAAAGCAUAAUAGUAUUAUAAAUGUUGUUGUUGUUAUUAUUAUUAUUAUUAUUAUUACCACUAGUAUAAUAAAUUAUAAGUUUGUAAGGCAAAUUUAGAACCCAUAUUUAGAACUGUAAAUAUUUUACUUAUGUAAACUUAUUUACAUUUAUAUGUGGAUUUAAAGGAUGUAGUGGUGCACAGUGGCUGUAAUCACAGUGGCUUGGAAGGCUGAGGCAGAAGGAUUAUAAGUUCAAAGCCAGCCUCACCAAAAGCAAGGCAGGAAGCAACUCAGUGAGACCCUGUCUCUAAAUAAAAUACAAAAUAGGGCUUGGGAUGUGGCUCAGUGGUCAAGUGCCUCUGAGUUUAAUUCCCAGGACCAAAAAAAAAAAAAAAGUCAAUUUAACUAUUAUUUAGAGUGGAUUUUAAAAAUUUUUGACCACUAGCUAUAAUGAAGAUGCUGCUUAUGUAGCUUGUGUGCACUGUGCACACACACACACACACACACAAAUAUCUAUCUUUACAAAUUAAACAGCAAGUUUUUUAAACAUUGCUUUCCAUAUUAUAUACAAUGGGAUGUGAUCUAUUCCAUUUUGUUCCAUUGCAUUUUAUUCCAUUUCAGGCUCAUCUGUUAUUUCUUUAGUUAUUUCUUCUUUAUUUGCUUAAGCUGCUGAGUUGCUUUCAAGAUCUGGAUCAGCAGAUUGAAAAAGAAUCCUAAAGCAGCCUUGACAAUAUCCAGAGCUUAAAAAGUGUUUACUAACAUUGAAUCCAAAUAGCUAUAUGUACUUAUCUUUUAACUUCAAAUUUGGAACUGCUUACAGCAAACAUUUUCUCUGCCAGUUGUAGUUGUCAUGAGAAAUAUAUUCACUUAAGGAAACCAACCUGUUGUUUUUUGAAACAAAGUAUAAAAAAAAAAAACAAAAAAAAAAACACAAUCUAUUUUUCCUUAGUUCAUUAACUGCGCCUGAUUUUUGGUUCUGUCAUUUGAUGUUUUAUUCCAAAAUCUAAAUUCUGGUGAAUACAAUGACAUUCAGUUUAGUUGAUAAAUUUCUUCUUCUCUGGCCUGGAUAAAUCUAAUUUCUAGGGAAGAACACAAAUGGCAUAUCCUCAUUGAGAAAUAGCAUGCCGAUGUGUCUUGUUGUGCCUUGCAUAAAUUGAGCCAAUGAUGCAUGUUUGCUGAUCACACAUGAACAGAUUAUGGAGGGGAGCAUGAAUAUAUGUGUUUAAAAAAGAUAUAUCAUGGGCUUAAACACCCCAGGCUGCUUGGCACUCUUUUAUCAUCUGCUAUUUUACUAUACUCAACAAUGAACGUGCCUAAACUUCUAGAAAAUAAUAUAAUAUGCAAAAGAAGGAGAACUUUUACUUUCUAUAAUUCUUAAAAUAUGAUUACUCUUCGUAGACUUCUUUAUCCCCACACAUUGCUCCAUGGUUCAGAGACACCAAUAGAACAGUAGUGUUAAGAACCAUUAUGUUGUUUAAGAAAUUUUUAGAGUGCCUGUUUAUUUUCUCAUGGUCCCUACAAAAAGUAAUCCUCUUAUAUAUCUGAAAUGUAAGUUACUAUAAUAUAUCUUAACUUUCCCUAUGUGGUAAUGUAGAUUUCAUCUCUUUUUCUUUCAUAUUUGUCCUCACUUAACCUAUUAGCCUAUGUAACAUUAUCAAUAAGUAAAUUAUUAAUACAUAUUUGGUUAUAUUAUUUAUCUUCUACAUAGUUUAAGUGUAUGUCAGCUGCAAUGUGGAUUUUUUUCACUUACCAAUUAAUACUCAGUAAUUAAUACUAAGCUUUAUUGACAACAAGGAUAAUAUGAUAUCAAAUAAACUAUUACAUUUCUCUUUUGGUAUGAUUUGAAAUUUGCUUUUAUAAUUAUUAUGAUGUUUUCCUGCUUUUAUUAAACUGAAUUAGAAUUGCUUUUAAAAUUUAUGCUGUCUAAUAAAUGGUCCUAUGGAUCAUUAGUCCUGUUUAUGACUUAUAACCCUCAAGAGAAGGCACAGGUGUGAGACAGUUUAACAUGGGAAGGCUACUCUAAGGGAUUGCAGAACUCGGGGUCGUAGCUCUCCUUGGAGGCGUGGGUCAUACAGCUUAACCUUUGUUCCCAUUUCCUCUAUCCACAAUACAGACACCUUUUACCAUGUUUACGUUUUAUAAGUAUAUUCUGGAAAGGUUUAAGUAUGUAUACAUGUAUCAAUAAAUGCUUUGAAUUAUUUGAAAUCAAGAUACUGUAAUUAUAUCAUUUUCUCUGUAAUAUCAAAACCAAUGUGCCAUGUGACACCCCAGUUGUCAAAUACUUAUUUGAAUCUAUUAUGUUUUCAAAAGCAGCUUAUUUUUUACUAGACUUAUACAAUUAAGUCAUGAAGAUCUGUGUAUGUGUUGGGAGAAGGAGUGGGGAGAGGAAAGAAAGAGGAAAAAAUAUAUUUUAAUUUGAGUGUCCUUUCUAAAUAUACUUUUUGAGGGGAUCUUCCUAAUAAGCCUAUGGAGCAGAUGCUAUUAUCUCCAUGGGGUGAAAGAGGAAAAUAUAGCUCAAAGAAGCUAAAAUAACUUGCCCAGUUCUCAGACUCAAUAGGUUCCUAAGCUAGGAUUCGAACUCAGCUACAAAUUUCAACUUUACAGGACGCCAGAAACUCUCUCAGCUUUCAGAUCACUGCUUUGGAAACUUCUGUUUGCAGCUAAAAUAGGAAAGGGCAGGGCUAAUUUAAUUAAAAGACAUAAUUUAUAACAUUCACCAAAGAAAUUUCUUUUUUAGCUUCCCUCAAUGUUUCCAUUACCAUUUUAGCUGAAGAUUUGGAUCAUUUCUUAUUUUAUCCUGCUGGUUUGUCCAACUCUAGUUCUUGGACUUACAAAAAUACACUUGCUAAAGAUGAGAUAAAGGGAAGGAGUUAUUCUGCAAUCUCUCGGCUCAGUUAUGUGUUUUAUUAAAAUGGUCUUCUCAGAGAGUGCCUGAAGGUUGAGGAGGGCCAUGGAAGGAGGGGUGACUUGACAGAGUUAGGGAAAUUCCAGAUGACAAGGAUUGCCAGAUUUCCUGCUGGCUCUUAAUUGCCAAACCCUGCCUCCUGCUCUUCUUGCACAGCUGUGUGCUUCAUUAAAUAGUGAUGUCUACAAAUCACAGCAGUGUUAAAAUGCAGAGCAGGGGGAAUUCCUGUAUGCUGGCUGCUGCCAAGUUCCUAGAGUUUUAACAGCACACUCAUCAAACUGCCUCUCUCUCCUCCAAAAACUAUAAAUAAGUUCAAUAUCAAGAGUGUUUUCAUCAAUUGUAAUGCCUCUCUGCUGUCUUUGGAAGUUUGAAAUAGCAUGUAGAGACAUUGGUAACAGUGCCCAUGGCCAGGGCAACACGGCCUGGGUCAUGUGCUGUCAGAGGUAAAGCUGGGUGUUGCCACUGUUUUUCUAAUUGAGUGAGGGACUGUUAAUCAUUGGAAGCAGAGCCUUUUCUCAUCCAGAGUUAGCUUUUCAGAAACUUUCUUGUAAAAUUUAGAGUCAAGAGCCCAUUUGUUAUUUUGCUGAAGAGGUAGAACAGGGGUGUGCAAUUAAUUCAACAAGCUAUGCAUUUUUUUGUGCAAGGUCCCGUGCUGGAUGAAGUAAAGAAUGACAACAUCAAGACAGGGCUCACAUACAGGAUCAGAGCUAAAGUGAGGGGAGCUCUGGGGAUUGGCGUACUAGAGUUGCUUAAAAGAUGCAAUUGGAACACAGGAGUUGGGAGGAUGCAAAGUCCAUCUGAAGGGAUGAGGGAAAUUUCAAGGUGGAAGUAACAUUGCUCCAGGCUUUGAAAGAUGGGGAGUUUAAUAGGAAAAGAUGGAGAUACUCCAGGUAGAGGGGAAAAGAUGAAAUGGAAAUUACAGAGAAUGGAGAAGUUUAGUGGAUUGUCAGAACUCAGUGUUGCCUUGUACUGAAGUUCUACCAUGCUAACUGGAAGCCCACCAUCCUUUGGGCUGUCCACUAACAAAAAAUUAAAUAACCUGUUUAUCUUCAAAUGGGUACAAUUUUUUUUCCCAAUUAGGUCUAUCACUUCUUAUUAUCUUCUACCAGCUGGAUUCUUACACUGCUGUUAUAUGUCUUGUAAAGUUUUAAGUAAAGGAUUGCCAGAUCCUUUACUUAAAGAAGUGAAGAGAGGGAGAGAGAAGUGGACUGAUGGAGCUUCCAUAAUAGGAAGCUGUAACAUUGGGUAGUCAUUGGUAGAUGGACAGAGGAAGAGCAGAGGGUAUGAAGGACCAAACCAGAGAGAGUCCGGAGGCCCCUGGAAGACAAGUAGUAACUGGCUGGUAGACAUCUUGAGUUUCUCUUUUUCUGGAGAUUUUCAGUUCUCAAGUCUAGAGAAAGAAAAUAGAACAGUUUGAACUGAUAUGUAUUUUAUUGAGCACAUACUUUGAGGCACAGUGAUGGAGAAGAUACAGCAUAUUUCCCCAACUAUGAGGAAGGGAGAUGAGCAUAUGAGCAACUAACUAUUGCACAAGGCAGAAUUCAGUAAGAGAAUGUGGGGAAAGAGAUUUAUUUUGAUCUGGGAGGAAUGUUUUUGAAAAAUACUGUUAAGGGGAGCUACCGGGUUAUUGAUAAGUAUCUUAGCUCGUGCAGGCUGUUGUAACCAAAUACCAAAAAUUUGAGUGGAUGUAAACAGCAAAAUUUUAUUUCUCACAGAGCUGGAGGCUAGAAAGUCUUAAGAUCAAAGCAACAGCAGAUUCUCUGCCUGAUGAGGGCUAUCCUUUGGGUAGAUGGCACAUUUUUGUUCUGCCUUCUCAUAGUGAUAAGACAAAGCAACUCUCCUAGGCCUGCUUUAUAAGGGCAUUAAUCCUCAUGAUCUAAUCACCCUCAUCUCCAACUCUACCCACCACCCUUGGGCUCUGGCAGCAUUCUACUUAUUCUUUGUAUUUCUGAUGCUUAACAUACUGCCUGGAAAGUCAGAGGUGCUCAGCAAAUGUUUUUUUGAAUGAACAGACAACUCCUCACUUGUUCCUAGCAUGGGUUAGACUAUCAUUAUUAGCACUUGAGUAAAUAAUUUACAAGUGACUAUCUGGUAUUUGCCCAGGAGAGAAAACUAACCUUUGAUACUUUCCUUUUGGUCUUCUGGUUCUUGAAUAAAAAGCUCCUCUUCCUGGGAUGAGUUCCCUUAAUUUAAAACAAGUCCAUCUUACUCAAACCUUUAGGGAGCAGUCUUGAAGGUACAUGGCCCCCAGUGGACUGAUCCAGUGUUAACUGCAGAAAGCGAAGCUUCACAUACCCUGAUUUAUUUACUCUUUGAAUUGUGAAAAGACCAGAGAUUGAAGACUGGCAUAAAAUAAUAAAGUCUUUUUCCUAAAAAUAUUUUAUAAGAGAGUAUAAAAUAUUCUCUUAUAUAUACCGCAAUUAAGCAAUUAACUUGCAAGUUCAUAUCUAUUAUUGAUUGAGUCAAUGGUUAAAAAUCUUAUAUUAAUUGUGGAUGAUGCUUUUGCAACACUUAUAAUUGCUUAUUAGAUUAAUGAACAAGGCAAUAAUAAUAAUAUAAUUAGAAACAAGUUAGUUUCUAAUUCUUUUGAGAGAUUUUAAAAACCACAAAUCAGAAAGAAUUUGAUCAAGCAAAAGUUUUUUUUUUUUUUUUUUUUUUUUAAGUCUAAUCUUGUUAGGGUGGUUUAACCUUGGUCUUUAUUCUCCACAGUAUGUUUUUAAUAGUUCUCAUUUAUCCUUAAUACCUAAACACCAAAAGCAACCUGGAAAGGUUGGAUUUCCCACUCUCCAUAUCAUAUGGUUAAUUCACAGGUACCCAGUGCUGUAUUGUCACCUGAAAGUGAAUUAAAGAUACCCUUUGAAUGGAAAUGUGUAUGCAUGUAUUUGUGUGGGGAUGCAGGGGAAGAGGGAGAGAUGAAACUCAGGCCACUCACAAGGUGGAAUUUGGAAAAAGCACUAUUCAGGUUUAAAUAUUCUCUCUUUAAGUCCUGGGCUUAAACACUCUCUGCCAUGUACUUUGGGGAGGUGGUCAUGUGCCCAGUGCUCCCUGAUAACCUUGGUGUUGUGUUUGGUCUGAAAGCUUACAGAGACAAAUACAAAGAGAUGAAUACUUAGAAUUGUCCCAGAAGUAUUUCCUUUAAGUAGUACAGGAUCACUGCCCAAGCAUAGAUCAGAAAAGUGAAUAAUGCAGAGAUGUCAACAUCAGUACAGAAAAUGACAGAGAUGUGUUAAGGUGUGUGCAUACCACCAAUUUCCUGGACAUCCUGAGAAGUUACUCUGCACAUUGGUGAUGUUUAAUCACUUAGUAGUGUCAUAGGGACCUCCCUGUAAAGAUUUCAAGUCCUCUUGGUUGGAAAUCAACCUUAUAUUUCUCCAAGUUUCUGUCAAGAAUGAGAGGUCUCUGGUUUCUUAAAAAGGAAUAUGAAAGGAGGAGAUAAAUAAAUGACAAAGAGUUUGGCAUCCUUCCUAGUCAUUUUACACACAAAUUUGCACACACACACACACACACACACAAAGGCAUUUUUUCUAAAAAAAAAAAAAGAAAGAAAAAGAAAAAAUUCAGUCUAAAUACAAAAUCUAUAACACAACAAAACAAAAAUCCAAGAACUCAACAAUUCUUCCACCAUGGGAGAGGCACGGAAAGAAAGACAAUCCUUUAUGUUUAACAAAGUAUUUAAUUUCCUCUUGGGCACAGUUACAUAUGUUUUCCAGCUUCCUUUAAAGUCAGGCAUCACCAUGUGACUUGGUUAUAACCAAUGAAAUAUGGACAGGAGUGCUUUAUGCUGCUUCCUGAUGUGGCCCUAAAAUUAACAUAACAUCCUCCAUGUGCUCUCUAUUUCCUCUCCUCUUCCUAUCACCCUGUUCCCUUUUCUGUACUUAGUCCUCUAUUCACCCAUAGACUGGAUAGAGAAGACCCAUCAGAAAUAUCUGAGACUGGAGGGGGCAGCUGAGCCAUAGAUAGAAGGAUUCUAGAUCUUUGAGCCACUGCUUUUGAGAAAACCUCACUGGAAAGCUGCCAGCAGGGAAAUAUCCUCAUAAGAUUUGGUGUGAGAAAGAAGUAAAAUUUUAUGGUGCCAUUUAUUUGGAUUAUAGCAUUCACUUUUUACUAUAGUUAGUGUUUCAUUUAAAACAGGCUCAUGGAGGAUAUGUUCUCAUCUGCUAGAAGAUGAAGUCAUCAGGAAAAGCACCUUUGGUCUAUGAAUGUGCUACCUCUGUUCUUGUAGGCAAUAUGCCUUAAUAAAUCCUAGGGCCUAUUAGGUAUAUACAUGCCAACAAAAUGUGAUUCUAAUUACAUACUGACAGUGAUGGUAAAUGCUUCUAUUUACUUAGUAUUACGUCAUGGGUACUGAGUCUGAGACCAAACCUUUUAUGGUAUAUAAAUCAAAUACCAAAAAAUUGGAGGCAGUAACUCUGAAGAAUUCAGGUACCAUACAUAAACUGAAAUGAAUCUUACUGGGAAAUAGUAAAGGCUUAUCAUUUCAUUAAAAAAAUCUCAAGAGACCAUACAGUUAUCUGAGAAGUAAUUAUAAGUCUACAUGAAUACUGAGGCUCCGAGGAAUGGAACCACAUUCUUCAUUGUAAGUCCUGCUCACUAUUCUUGUGGCUAACUCAGCUUAGAAUAAUGAUGACUAUUACUGACAGUCUGUUCAGUUCUCACAAGUUUCUGUACUAGACACGUUAUAUAAACCUCAUUUACUCUUUCAAUAGCAUAAUGUAUUUUAUAUAUAUAUAUAUAUAUAUAUAUAUAUAUAUAUCCUUCCUCCCCAUAUGAAGAAACUGAGAUUUAGAAAGUUUAAGUCACUUGCUGAAGAUCAGACAUCUGCAGUGAAUCAAAAUGUGGAGUCUAAAAUUCAUGUUCUUAACCAAUAUUAAAUGCUUCUGUUAUUGACCUGAAUAGUUCAUAUCUUUAAUCAUAUUAAACCUCCCCUUUUUAAUAAAAUGUAUUUCUAUCCACUUUUUAAAAAAUGAGAUCACACCCCAAGGAAUAGCAUAUCUACAUAUGACCAUUUUGUUUUAAUGAAUUUACAUUAUACAAGUUCCUUGAGAUUAUUUCUCACUGGACUUAGAAGACAUUAUGGAAACAAGGUGAUAAUUUAUAGUUUAUGUUAUCUUUUAUUUAUUUGGAAUUUCAGUUUCAAAAAAUCCUGGAAAAGUGACUUCCACGGUCCUUUCAAAGACAUAAAAUUUGCUAAUCCUUUUCCUAAUUCAGUUUCUGACUUGCAAUGUAAAGGAACUUUUCAGCUUCACAUUGCUAAACACAGUAAAGAUGCAAGAAAUUUAUAACUCUUACUCUGACAAGACUGAAGAAUUUUAUGAUAGCCUGAGUUUUAUAGCCCAAUCUUUUAUUUCUUUCUUUAUUUAGGGGUACCAGGGAUUGAACUCAGGGACACUCAACUACUGAGCCACAUCCCCAGCCCUAUUUUGUAUUUUAUUUAGAGACAGGGUCUCAUUGAGUUGCUUAGCGCCUCGCUUUUUGCUGAGGCUGGCUUUGAACUCUCGAUCCUCCUACCUCAGCCUCUGGAGCUUCUGGGAUUACAGGCGUGCACCACCAUGCCAGCCCAAUCUUUUUAAAGGACCCCAAAUAAAAUAACAGUUCUGUCCUCUAAAUUGUUUUCCCUCUGUAGCCCUCAUCUCUUUCUGCAUCUUUUCUUCUGUCCAUCUUCCUAACACAACAUGUGUCUCCUCCAAGAAAGGAUGGGGCAGAAUCUCUUUGAGUCUUUAGACCUAAUUCAUACUAUUGAUUGAAACACCUUCCUAAAAUUGUCAGUGUGUACAUUUACAAAACUAAGCUGUUGGAGUGCACAUGCGCACACGCGCGUGCACACAUGUGCGUGUGUACACACACACACAUACACACACACAUACACACACUGUUUUCUGUCCCAAAUCUGCUCCUAUGUUUCCACAUCUCUAAAAUAGUAUCUACAACUAGACAUUAAAACACCACACAAACACACAUGCUCAUCUAGAUCAAUCAUAGAUUGAUGGAUAUUUGUUCUGCAUUAGACGGUAUUUGUUCUGCAUUGGGAUAUGAAAUAUCUUUCACACGGAUGAAGAGAUCUGUUUGAGAAAGUUUUUGUCAUUUGCUUUCCACAAACAUAACACCUUUGAAAAAUAAAUGGAUAUAAAGUUUUAUGUAAUAACUAAGAUGUGGAGAGCCGAUAUCUCCUAGAAGCAGCUGGAUGGGAAGAGAAAGCAGCUGUAGGAUUUUUACACAGCUCUACUGAAUUUUAAUUCUUCUAAGCUCUUUACCCUCGUAACAUGACCUCAAAACCCUACAGGUUAUAGAGAAAAAUCCAAAAUCAGGGAUGUAGACAUCUUGUUUAAAUGAGGUUGCUCUCCUCAUUGAAAAUUAAUCAUGCUUUUUCAAUUCCUAAGCUGUGUAUUGCUUUUGUAAAAUCUGAGAUUUAGGCUAGACGAUAUUUGUUCUGCAUUCGGUUAGCCUUUUCCCUUAGAGAAAUGUUUAUUUUCUUUUAAGCUUGAAAUCAAACCCAACUUUCAAAAAUCAGUCUUUACCUUGAGCUUAGGAAGAGGAGACAUAAAAUUAGUAGUAAUAGGAAUAUAUGUGCAAGGCAUAGAAUUAAAGGAAUGUGUUCAUGUGGGAAAAGGAAAGAAAGCUUGCCAUGAAAACUGCUAUUUCAGACUUUAAGAAGCUGGCACAUGGGGCUGGGGAUGUGGCUCAAGCAGUAGUACAUUCCCCUGGCAUGCGUGCGGCCCGGGUUCGAUCCUCAGCCCCACAUACAAACAAAGAUGUUGUGUCCGCCGAAAACUAAAAAAUAAACAAAAAUUCUCUCUCUCUUUAAAAAAAAAAAGAAGCUGGCACUGAAAAUCAGUGAGGACAGAUAACAACUGAGAGGAUGCUCUGGUAGACAAAGGACAUAUAGAAAAACAGAAAGUGCUCAUUUUUUUAAUAUUUAUUUUUUAGUUGUAAUUGGACACCAUACCCUUAUUCAUUUAUUUUUAUGUGGUGCUAAGGAUCGAACCCAGGGCCUCAGAUGUGCUAGGUGAGUGCUCUACCACUGAGCCACAACCGCAACCCAAAAGUGCUCAUUUUAAGAGGAUAAACUACAAGGAUACUACAAAAGAAUCUGUGCAUAAUGGACUUUGAUUAAUAAAUAACAUAGCCAAUUCUCAGGGACAGCUUUGCAAUGACCAGGGAAUGAUGAUGAAAUAAGAGAAUGAGGCUCUUAGGAUAGGAGUGAUCUGUAUUUAUCUUUCAAAUGAAUUUUUUAAAGAGAAAAAAAUAAACCUGAGAAUACUAUAUUAAUAACAUUAAACUGACUAAGGAUGAAAACCCUUGUCAUGUUAUUUAAAAAUUUCAUGGUUACUAUGGGAGAGUGUUGUAUUGUUAAAUAAAUAUAUAAGCAUAGAACACUGUAAAUUUAGCCAAUAAUGAUAAAUAUUCAGUUUGCCAUGGGGGCAGAGAAAUUAUGAAUAUAAGAUGAGUUUGGAGACUUGGAAAAGGUGGUAGAAAUAAUUUUUGAAGUUUACUAUGAAUUAUUUAUGUAUAAAAACUAAACCAAAAAACCACACUCUAACAAUUAUUUAUAGAGAGAAAAGACAUGUGUGUGUGUGAGUGUGUGUGUGCGCGCGCGCUGGGGAUUCAACCCAGAGCCUUGUUCAUGUGCUCUGUCACCAGCCUGAGAAAGGUAUAUUUAACAAAAAUUUGGAAUUAGAGAGCCUACAUCCUGGGACCACAUUUUUACCCCUCUCACAUCAGAUAGAGCACUAAUCUCUAGGGUAUAUAAAGAGCUCAAAAAGCUAAGCACCAAAAAAACAAAUAACCCAAUCAAUAAACUGGCCAAGGACCUGAACAGACACUUCUCAGAAGAGGAUAUACAAUCAAUCAACAAAUAUAUGAAAAAAUGUUCAUUAUCUCUAGCAAUUAGAGAAAUGCAAAUCAAAACUACUCUAUCAUCUCACAUGUGUCAGAAUGGCAGCCAUUAUGAAGACAAACAACAAUAAUUAGGCGAGGAUGGGGGAAAAAGGUACAUUCAUACAUUGCUAGUGGGACUGCAAAUUGGUACAACCAAUAUGGAAAGCAAUAUGGAGAUUCCUUGGAUAUCUGGGAAUGGAACCACCAUUUGACCCAGCUAUCCUUCUCCUCAGAUUAUAUCCAAAGGACUUAAAAACAGCAUACUACAGGGACACAGCCACAUCAAUAUUUAUAGCAGCACAAUUCACAAUAGCUAAACUUGGAGCCAAAGUAGAUUCCCUUCAGUGGAUGAAUGGAUAAAAAAAAAAAUGUGGCAUAUAUACACAAUGGAAUUUUACUCAGCAAUAAAAGAGAAUAAAAUCAUGGCAUUUGCAGGUAAAUGGAAGGCAUUGGAGAAGAUAAUGCUAAGUGAAGUUAACCAAUCCACAAAAAAACAAAUGCCGAAUGUUUUCUCUGAUAUAAGGAGGCUGACUCAUAGUGGGAUAGGGUGGGGGAGCAUGGAGGAAUAGAUGAAUUCUAGAUAGGGCAGAGGAGUGAGAGGGGAAGGGAGCGGGCAGGGGAUUUGCAAAGAUGGUGGAAUGUGAUAGACAUUAUUAUCCAAAGUACAUGUAUGAACACAUGAAUUGGUGUAAUCAUACUUUAUAUACAAUCAGAGAUAUGAAAAGUUGUGCUGUAUAUGUGUAAUAAGAAUUAUAAUGCAUUCUGCUGUCAUUUUUUUUAAAUCAAUAAAAAAAAGAAUAAAGUGUUUGAAUGCAUGAAUGUCUCCAGGUUAAGUGGUCUAUGUGAAGAGCUCUGAUGGCUGCAAGAAAAUGCAUUGACUUCAUUGACAAAUUGAAGAGCAUGGUAAGAAGAAAACAGAAGCAAGACAAAAGCUACCAGUCCAUGGAAAAUGGUGCUCCCCAUUAGUUUGGUGGGAGUGAGAAGAUUUGUUCUUCAGGAAGCCAGGCUGCCCUUGGCAAUUGCAACUUCCUUUUAUACAGCGGUGUAUGUUUCUACUUAAAGAUGAUCUUUGGUCAUUUUUGAAAACUCCAACCCACUCUUCAGCUAUAAGCUUCCUGAUAAGUUCUGGAAAGAUAAUUUAUGAUAUUCAGCUUGUUCUCAGUGAUUGUCCAUCCUUUAGGCUUUACGGCUGACCCUUUUGUAUCCAGUUUAUCAGAAAUCAUUUUCUAUCCCCCAGUUCUCUGACCAGAAAGCACACUUACCAAGUCCCUCCUUUAUAAUUUAAAAUAUUCACGACAGACAACACAGUUAAAAUUUUAGUUUUUAGUCAGGGUCAACACAUUUUUCCAUAAAACAGAGAGUCAUAUGUUCAGUUUUGUAGGCUGGGCUCUGUCACAACUACUGAAAACCAUCAACUAUAUCUAUGCAAACUAGCAUUUCUUAAAAACCUUCCAAAAACAGUUUGUGUGGCUAGAGCUCUAUUUUAAAAAGAGUGCUUUUCUUGAGCCAAUCUUUCUGUGAAACCCUUUUUCUAUGGAAGCAUACCCUCUCCUCUCUCUAAACUUAAAAAAACAAACAAACAAACAACACAACAACAAAACUUCUUUUCUUUUCUUGAAAUAUAGAUAAAUGUCUUUAAUAAUAUAAUGCUUUGGGAACUGUGAAUGUAGCUCAGUGGCAGAGUGUUUGCCUAGCAUGCAUGAGACUGGGUUCAAGCCCCAGGACUGGAUGAAUGAAUAUAUAUAUAUAUAUAUAUAUAUAUAUGAAAUGCUUUAGACACCAUUGAAUCUGUGGCCAUCAUGGGUUUGUUCUCUAAGUGGUAUUACAUAUAACAAGCACUAUAAAAGAAAGUGGAAAAAAAAACACAAAGAGAUUUUUUUUUAAGUCACGUAAUUCCAUUCUUUUAACAUUUUAAUUUGUUCUUAGUCUCCAGGACAUUAAAGACCCACUCCAUAACCUUGGGUAACACUUUCUUUUUCUUCAUCUUUCUCUCCUGUUUUCAUAAGCUACAAUCCUUUUAUCUUUCCUCCUUUAAACCCUGCCCCAAAUUCCUGCCCCCAGCAUAUUUAGCCCACAAGGUUUUCAUUUUUUCCCUUCCACCUUUGUCUCAGAACACUUUAUUUAGUAGAUGGACUAAAAUACCCUUGCUUCUUCUGUUUGUUCUUCCCUCUUUUCCCUCUUCCAUUCUUAGAUACAAAAUCAGGGCAUCAGGCCAAGCUGGGAGAUUAUAGUUCACUGAUGGGAAGGCCAAACCCCAUGAACACUCCUGGUUUUACUUUUUUUAAAAAAAUCAUGUUAAAUAUUCUUUUUAUUAUCAUUGUUGGCUUAAGCAUAUUUUAUUGACUUGUGGAAAAAAUACAGAGUAUAUAGAAUGUGGUCACGGCACAUGGCCUGAGAGGCCAACCUGUCCCCAGCCUCUUUACGGAGUGCAUCUCAAGUCAACAAGAGAGACAGGAAGCUGGUGGGGAAGGCCCCACCAUAGCCACUCCUUCUUUGCUUCACCUCUGUCAUCCAACCCUUCCUGGCAGAUUGAGCCAUCUCUCAGUGAAACAAAGCUGACAAUCAGAAGGCUAUGGCAGCUGCUCUAUGGUCACUCUGGUAACCACCUCCUGCCCGCAGCUGACAGCUGGAAGGCUGAGAGCCCAGGGCUGUGUGUGUUCACCCUAAGGUUCUGGAGCCACCCUCAUAGGUAUCUUCCUGCAGGAGGUGGAAGCCCAGAAAAGAAAGAGGUGAUCACCAUCAGAUGACAUUGCCCUCAGACAGCACUGACACGGAAGAUCUCCCUGGAUAUUCAGAGGCCUGAUCUCAAGUUUGGGCAGAGAGUUGGUAUAAUAAAGAAGUCCGAAGAAGUCUCAGCUGUGGUAUCAGCUUACAGGGGGCCUUUGGUCCCAGGUGUGGGGAAUAAAUAGGUCUGCCCAGAUGAGUUGCCUGUUGUCAGCUGAGUGUAGAAAGAAUUGGGGCUGCUUGUGUAAUCAUGAGCAACAAUAGACUGUGGACCUUAAAGUUAUAGAAUAAUAAAAUAGGAAGGAAGUUUAGUGACUGUAUAAUAAUCCAAUACCCUUCCUUUACACAUAGGAGGAAAGAAACCUAGGGGAAAAGAGACUCCCCAUAGUGAUCAGGCCAGCUAGCUCAAACAAAGAAUAUGGCCCUGUCAAGUAUUUUUAUCUCUGCACAGCUCUUUAUAAUUAGAAAUACUAAAUUGGCACAGGACAAAAUCAGAAGCCUGGAGCUUUUUGCAAAGACAUCUAAGAGGAGGGUACAGUGAUCCCUAGGGCUUUAGAGGUUCAGCUAGAAACUUGGUGGUGUUUUGUUGUUGUUGUUGUUGUUGUUUUGUACUGAGAAGUAAACCCAGGGUGCUUUACCACUGAACUACAUCCCAAAUCCUUUUUAUUAAUUUUUUUUUUAUUUUGAGACAGGGUCUUGCUAAGUUGCUAAGGCUUUCCUGAAACUUGUAACCCUCCUGCCUCAGUCUUGCAAGUUGCUGGGAUUAUAGGUGUGCACAACCAUGUCUGCCUAGAAUCUCAUUUCCUAAAGCAGCUUCUUCAAACCACCUGGGAGGUGUUAGGCUUCACAUGCCCAGACUUCUUUCCCUGGAGUGAGGUAUAUCUAGCUGCCCAGGUGAUUUUGAUCUGUUUCUUUUCUCUCCUUGGGAAUCACAGGGAUAGAUAGCAAUGGCUCUUUGUUGUACCACACUUAGAACCUCGUGGAACUUCCAACCUUUAAAAUAAUACUUACUCCCUUAUUCUACUCUUCAAAAUUCUCAUUUAAUUGAACUGGAGUCAUGCUCAGUCAUGUGUAUUUUAAGUAUCCCAGGUAUUCUAAAGCAUUCCCAGGUUUGAAAAAUGCAGGCUAAGGGAAGCCUGAGAGGUCAAGCCUGGGAGGGGACUACAGCAAGAAAGUGGAGAGGUCAGCAGAGAUAGAGCAGAGAUCACUGAGGAUGAAUUAGCUGUGAGGAAGUCCAUUGCUGGGGAAGACAUUGGGAAAGGAGGGGCUAACAGCUGAUGGGCCUCCCGAGGAGAGACAUAGGGCUCAAAUAGGCUCAGGUGGAAGUACUCUGGGAGUCAGAUUAAACAGAGGUUAGAAGGAGAUCGGGGAAGACAGAGCUACCUUCUCUAGGCUGCAGUACUCUUGGCUUUCCUCAGCAAGAAGGAAGGACAAAGGACGAUUGACCCAGAAGGAAGUGUUUUGAAUUGGUAGGUAAAGAAAAAUAAUAAUGGAGCUCUUCUAGAAGAGGGAGUACAUUUUUGCUGAUAGCAACCCUUGGGCCUUAGUCUUCUGUAAAAUGAAUGAUAUAAUCUUUGGACCAGAGGGUCUUAGAGUUUAUCAGAGUCAACCGCCUCUCUUCACAGAGGAGGAAUUUGAGCCCUAAGAGGGGAGGCACUUGCCUAAGAUCCCAUCCAGCGAUGGUAUCAGGCCCCAAGCCCCUAAGGCAGGACUCUCACCUCCACCCAUAGCCCUGACCUCUCUGACCUAUAUCCAUUCCCAGGAGAGUGACCACAAUGUGACAGUUAAAGGUGCCGGCUUUGGCCGAGCUCAGUGUCACAUGCCCUAAUUCCAGCAACUCCUGAGUCUGAGGCAGGAGGAUCACAAGUUCAAGGCCAAUCUGGGCAAUUUAGCAAGACCUUUCUUAAAAUUAAAAAAUAAAAAUAAAAAGGGCUGGGGAUGUAACACAAUGAUACAAUCCCCUAGUUGAUGGGAGGAUCAAAAAUUCAAGCCUGGCAGGCUGACUGCUGAGCCUGCAUUUUUUUUUUCUUUGAUACGGGGAAUUGCUUUGGGAAAUUUAUUUAGCUCUCUGUGCCAUACUGUUUUAUUAUAAAGUGAAGAUUAUAAUAGUAAAAAUUUAUGAUGGGAUAUUGAAAGGAUUAAAUGAGUUAAUCCAGUAAGCAUUUAGAACAAUGUCCAGCAUGUGGUAUGUGUUCUAUAAUAUUAAUUGUAAUUAUUACACUGAACUCUUUUAUUCAAGUGUUAACUUGAUAUCUGAAUAUUGGGGAGUGUAGCUUAGUGGUAGAGUGUGCACCAACCCUGGGUUCAAUCCCGAGCACUGCCUCCCCCACCCCCAAAAAAAAAAAAAAGAAAGAAAGAAAAGAUAUCUGAAUGAACAAGACUCUGAUACUUUCUAUUUAAUGAUGGUUAUUUAGAGAACAUACAGAUUUAUCAAGGCAUUCUAAUUUUAAAAAGUAAACAAUUCCAAAUAGAUUGAGAUUUAGGCAAAUCCUGAAGCCAAGUGUAAUUCUUGAAAGUGCAGAAUUGUGGGUCUCGCACCAGAUCAUUAGAAAAAUAAUCUCUUGGAGGUAGGGACAGGGAAUUUACAUUUUGCACAUGUACUCAAAUGAUUCGAUUGACCUAUAAAGUGUGAUGCCUGUUGCCACAUAGUGGGGAAGUGAGUAACCAUCUAAGGUAAUGAUGCAAGGCCUCCCCUCCCCCUAUUGGAAAGGUGCUGUUCUCAUUCUCAUGAUGUCAAUGUGAAAAUUAAGAUUUAAAGAAGUCAAAUAGCUAAUCCAAAGUCAUUAACCUUGAAAAUGGCAGAGCAGGGACUCUGAAGCUAUAUCCUUACAUACAGACGUUCCCAUUCUCAUUCUCAUUUUGUGUGUGUGUGUGUGUGUGUGUGAUCUUGAGCAUCGUCUCCUCUGUAUAAUGGAAUAAUGUUGGCAUCCACCUCACAGGAUGUUGUGCAAUUAAUCAGUGACUGUCAGGCAGAUUGCAGGGUGCCCUGCUCAUGGAGGCAAUUAGAUGGCAGCUGCUGUUUCUGCUACAGAUGUUGGUUUUGCUAUAUGUAGUCUUUUUUUUUUUAAUUUUCCUUAACAAGCAACUAUUUUACACCUACUCUGUGCCAGAUACUGUGCUAGAAUGUAAAGCUGCAAAGGAUAGAAACUAAAAGAUAGUUCUUCCCUCUGAGAACUGGCAAGUUCCGUGGAUAGUAUGGAUUAAAAAAAAAUGGACCAUAAGACAAAAAAGGAAAGCAACAAAAAGUGCUGUAAUGAUUUAAAUUAAAACUUAUCCUACAAAGAGUUGUAAAGAAAUAUGACAUUCUGGAUAGCCAAGUUUUCUAGAAAAUUGAAAAAUACACUUUUUAAAUAGCAGUUUCUUUCUUUCUUUUUUAGUAUUGCAGAGUAGAUAUUUCUCAGAAUACUGCAUACUUUCCUGCUUUUUGGAACCAAAAAUAGCAUGCACUUGUACAUUUCUCUUGAUCCCCCAGGAUCAAUCACUUAAUGGGUUGUGGUAUCAUACAUGAGUCCUUAGGCACUUCUGAGAAGUACCUACUUCUUUGCUCUUGUGUUUGGUUUUCAUUUUUUUUCUGUCUCAUUUCAAAAUAUGCACUUAUUUUUUUUAACUGAAGCUAUUAUGAUGUAACAUAAAGAAAUCUAGGGAGUUGGGUUGAUGAAAGAGCACUUGCCUAGCAGGAACAAGGUUCGAUCCCCAGCACCACGAAAAUCAAAGAGAGUAGAAGUUGGUUGAAUUUAUAUUUCUACACCAACCCUAAGGCCAUUCUUUAUGACUCUAAGGUCAUUCAUUCAACAAGUGUUCAUAAAUGCUCUGUUAUUAUGUCAGGGAUUCUGUUUCAUGUAGGAAUGCAAAGAUACAUUCAUGUAUGUCUCUGUCUGCCUUCUAGUUUUCUUCAUUCUAUAGUUCUGUCGUAGAAAGGCCUAGGAAAAUAAUGUUUCUUCACUGCUAGUUCCUUACUUGUUAGAGCAAUAGACCUGUAUAUACAAAAAGAAAAUACCAUUUCAACAUGGUUAAAUUACAAUAGAAUUAACUAAGGACAAGAACAUUCAAACAGCAAAAAAUAAAAAUAUUGCACCUUUUCUCUCUAAGUUUUGAUCUGGGCAUUGGCAAAUGUAGAGAAUUAAAGAAUUGGAAAUGCUGGUGGAGACUAAGAGGUCACAGUUUGAAAAAGAUACAGGGUGAAAAACAACCUGUAGGCUAAAUCUGGCUGAAUAAUUGGGACAAAUAGAUUUGCCUAAAGCAAUAAGGAGCAAAGACCUGACUAUUUUGUCAAGGGCACAAAGUAAAUGACUGUGAAUUCUGAGUCAGGGAAGGAAUAACCUAAAGAAAUGCUUUUUAAGGGAAGACUGAGCAUCCCAUAGGUACAUAGUUUGGGAGAGAAUUCUAACCAAAGGCUUAGUGGGAUGGGGAGUAUGAGAGAAGGAAGCUAGAGUUAUAUAGUUAUUCUAUUUCUCUCUGAAUAGAGAGAAAUCUGGGUCAUGGUAGAGUCAAGCUGAGAGCAAUCAAAUCUUAAGGAAGGUCAUGGUGGGGGAAAUGUGUUCUGAAGAUGAAAAGGAGGUCCACUAACUAUGAGGAGCAGUAAGUAGAGCAGAGGAGAAAUGGGUAUAGAAAGGAGAUUCUUUUAAGAAUCUAUCAAUUCAGUGAUAAGUAAAAAAGACUUCAUUGGCUGCAAUACUUUGUUGUUUAAAUUGUAAUACAUUGAAAUUUUAAGACAUAACAUGUGCUGUAAAUGCAUUUUGACCUUUAAAGUUUUGGUUACUAAGAGUGAGGUUGAUAUAUAGGUUUGAGUUAGGAUGGAUGGAGAGAGAAAAAAACUACCUGGUCAUUUUUCAACAGGAAAUUGAAAGUGAAAUUUUCCAUAUAAGGAAGGAAAGAUAUUAAUAGGUCUGAUUUAGAGCAGGUGAGUGAUUUGGGAAGAUGGAUUUAAAUCAAGCUUAUGAAUAAAUUUAGUCCUCCAGGGCCCAUGGAGACUAUUGGGUGCUAUGAAGUGAUAAUGCACUAAAAUACAUCAAGGUAUUCUUUGGCAUCUUUAAAACACAAUAUGAGAAUAUCAAUAAUGAUUAUAAUAGAGAAAACUCAAAGAUGUGAAUGGUUUUGAACUAAAAAUGUAAAGGAAUUAUAUGAUCUAGAAUGUGCCUAAGGUCAAUUAAAAAACACAUUUUAUCUAGAGGUUGGUGAGAAAGGCUUAACUAAUAAUUCCAUGAAUUGAUAAGAUUGGACGAAUGAAUGGAUGCAUGGGUGGCUGAUGAAUGGAUGGGUGAUACAUGGAUGGAUGUGUGAAUGAACAGAAGAAGCAAAAGUCAUAUUUAUUUUUAUUUAUAUAUGACAGCAAAAUGCAUUAUAAUUCUUAUUAUACAUAUAUAGCACAAUUUUUCAUAUCUCUGGGUGUACACAAAGUAUAUUCACACCAAUUCGUGUCUUCAUACAUGUACUUUCGAUAAUAAUGUCCAUCACAUUCCACCAUCAUUAAUAACCCCAUGCCCCCUCCCCUCCCCUCCAAUCCCUCGGCCCUAUCUAGAGUUUGUCUAUUCCUCCCAUGCUCCCUAUCCCUAUCCCACUCUAAAUCAGCCUCCUUAUAUCAAAGAAAACAUUUGACAUUUGGUUUUUUGGGUAUUGACUAACUUUAUUUAGAAUUAUGAAGCACUUUCAUCUAAGGAUUAGGAUGCUAUCAGAGUAUUUGGUCAAGUUCCCUUGAGUAAUAGUAAAAUCAGGUGUUUUCUUUCGCUGCAUUUGUAAAUCAGCUCCUUCUGGUGAUAUUGAGAAUCUGAAAAAGAACUAGACUCUCUAAAUAGUUUUCAACUACCACUACUUGUUUCCUAUGCCAUUUUAUGCUCAUCUUGUAGAAAAGGGAAGGCUAUUGUGAUGAGACAAAAUUAAUAGAUUAUUUUUUAUAGAAAACAUCCUCCUUAAAAAAGCUUAUGUUCCAAGUUCUAUAAUGAAUGAAAAUUAGAAAUCAUAAAAUCAUAUAAGUCAUUUGAUUAAGCAUGAAUUUGAAGUAGUAUAAUCUUGAAUCUAAAUCCCAACUUUAUCAUUACUAGCUGAGUCAUAUUCAUUACUUGUUUCACAUAGUUGUCCAGAUAAUACUCAAUAUCAUGUUGAAUCAUUUACACAUAAAACCUUUAUUUGAAAUAUAUUAUCAGAGAAAGGCAGCAUUGAAUUCACAGAUGAAUUUUUUAUUUUUUUAAUCUGAGGAAUUACAUUACUUUUCCAAAUGGCUUUCAGAAGCACCUAUGAUAGAAAAAAACAAUUAGGCAUAGAUGAAUUUUGAAAAACUUAUUAAAAUCUUUGUAUUUUAAUACAAUUUAAUUUUAAAUUUUAACAACUGGUUUAGAAAAUUCCAGAGAAUUUAACAUUCUCUUUCUGCUUAUAUAACAUUUCUGCUUUCAUUAGCUGACACCCCGAGACAAUAGUGAAUCUAGGACAAGUAUUCUGACCUCAGCUUCUCUAUGAAAUGUAGGAGCAAGACUAGAAAAGCACUAUCUAAGGGUGCUACCAACUUUGACACACUAUGAGAUACUCAAAGGUAUAGACUCAAGCAUGACUGCAUCUUUCCUAUGGGAAUGUGAGCAGCAGUGUGAGCCCAGCUUGCAAGGAGACUCCUGCAAGAGACUGGGAUUCCUGAUGCCAUAUUUUCCCUCUAUCAGAAUGACUAAUAGCCUGUCAAGGGGACUGAGGCAGGAAAUCUAGUAGCAGCCAUGAGCUUCUGACUCUAUUUACUACUAAAUGCUGUCCUAUUUUGUUAGAUCAAUAAGGGCAUGUUUGUAUAGAAUCAAUAUAUCUCUAGUUUUGAAAAAGGGAAUAGAUACUUUUUAUAUAUAUAUAAAACCUGUGUUCUCUCAUUUAUCAUAUCCAGAUACCAAAGUUUGGGCAAUCAUGCUGAGACUUAGCUUCUGAUGAAAAAAAUUUAUUCUUAUUGUACUGUGUGUUGGGGGGAAAACAGAUUUAAGAAUAACAGAUAUGGGAUGAAUUGACUUUUCUUUGUUUCAGCUUUUCUAUGUGUUAAAUAUGAAAAACUGAACUAGAGGAUCUCUGUGAAUCAUUGGCUCUAAAAUCCAUCUAUAAACUCAAGAUUGUUCAGGACUGUGAAAUUUUAUUUAUUUAUCUAUCUAUUUAUUUAUUGGUGCUGGUGAUCAAACCCAGGGCCUUGUGCAUGCAAGCCAAACAUUCUACUACAUGAGCUAUAUCUCCAGCCCUUAGGACUCUAAAAUUUUAAAGAUCUUGAUAUUUGUAGGAGCUCUGGAAGAAACUCAAAUUGGGACAGAUGUGUGUGUGAUGACUUCUAGGAAGAAUAGAAAAGGCAGGAGGGGAUGCAGACUAUGAAAAUAGUUCCCUAGCUGUUUUCCAAUACCUUCUGCAGAGAACAGGGUUCUUUCCUGAAUUAAUACAGAAAGAGGAUAGUUCAUUCAGGAAAAAUAAGCUGAAAUGGAAAAAAAAUUACUUCACGCUUUCUAACUUUGGAUGAGACUGGUUUGACAAAAGGCUUUCAACAGUCAUUAUUCCACAAGUGAAUUGAUGCUGAGAUUCAUCAAAGGCAAAGACUUGGAGAUAGAUGGGGUUUGCUUCACUUUUCCUGCCCAAUGGCACUAUUUGACCUCUUCCCUAUCACUAUUUGAUCUCUAUCCCUGUUUGCAUGGUGAUCCAGGGAGUAGGAAAAUUAGCACUUGUUUGCAAAGGAGAGACCUUGAAUCUCUCCUAACCUAGACCAUUGGUCUUUCCUUUUCUUUCAAAAAAAAUUUUUUUAAUAAAAUCAUGCUCAGAGCUCUAGUGUGCAUAAGAGAAGUAAAACCCAAACUUCUUGUUAAUAGGAAGGGGUAUCUGGAAUCCCCUCCCCAUUGCUGACUGUUUUAUGAAAUAUAAUAUGGAUCAAUUCCAAACUCUACCCUUGUUUUUUGUUGUUGUUGCUUGUUUUGUUGUUUUGGGGUUUUGUUUUUGUUUUUGUUUGUUUGUUUGUUUGUUUGUAAUAAAUCCUCUUUGAGAACUUAAGGCCCUAAGGGGAAAGUUGCCAGUUGAUGUGGCAAGUCUGAGACAAAGAUGAUCUAGAAUAAAGAGAGGCAAUGGGAGCAUCAUUUUUGGCUCAAGGCCAUAGAUGGAGGAUGGUUUGACUGACGAGAAAUGAAGGAUGAUACAAGUUUUCUAAUACAAUUACUUUCAUAUGGCAUGAUUACAACCUUAACAGACCUUUUUAAAUAAAUCCUUAUUAGUUUAAUUUAUCAGGUACAAAUUAUGUAGCACUUGAUCUAAGAGAACCAAUGCCUUUGUGACCAGACACUAUAUAAAAAAUGAAUAGCACAUUAUUUUAAGUCAGCCUCUCAACCACCCUCUGCAGGAAGCAGAGUUGAAGACACCAAGGUUCAAAUACAUUAACUAACUUGGUCAUGCCAGUAGAGCCUCAAGCAGCCAUAAAACUACAAGACGGAUUUGAGAGGGAUUUUAUUGUCGAAUUACUUAAAAUCCUCUACAGUAGACUAAUUGUCAUACAAGCAAAAUAGAAUAAACUAGCAUUGAUGAGGUAAAGCAAAAGUUUGGGAAAGUUCAAAGGAGAAAGAGUAUAGUUCAAAUAAGGGUCUAUAAAGUACUUUUGGAGAAGAGGGCACUGAGGAUGGGGUAGAGUGGAAACAUAGCAGGGUACAGAUGCUCACCCUGUGUCGCUUUCUAGGAAGCUGAGGUUGGAAGAGUGUAGGGGGAUCACCCAAGGUUUCAUAGCUGGCUAGAAGCGAUAUUAAAUACAAGGAAGGUCUUUGGGAGUCAGACAGAAAUGGGGUGGGAGCCACAUAAAUUAAUGCCAUAGGGAGAAACCAGAACUUUGCUGUGGAGAUCUGUGUAAGAAGUGGCAUGUGGCUGUGGAAUCGAGACUUUCUCUCUUCUACUCUAGAAAACACUACAGUGUCUUCUGUUUGCCUCUUUUUGAAUCUGUUCCAUGCUUUUUUGUUAUGUAAGACCUAGGUCACAGUUACUAUCAAUCUCUUUAGAAACUACAAUUAAAUAUCUGCCAACUUAAAAACUCUUAUAUUUGUCAUAUGGAAUCACACACUGGAUAAUGCGAUUGCUGAGAAUCCAAUUUGUGUUGCUCCAUUUAUUUUCGACUGCUUGCCUGGAUGCUAGGCUGCAAGGUCCUGGAUGCUUUGGGUACUUAGGUCUUUGGGUGUUGGAAAUGGACUUGGGAGUCAUGUACAUAACUUCUCACAUGAAAGUUGAUUUGCAUUCUGGGGUUUGGAUAAUUCAUUUUUACCAUUGCUUAGGAACAGUCUUUACUUUUAUUUUUCCUAUUUAUUUCUACUUCAGUUUAGUCUAAAGAUAAAUGUUAGUGCAAAUCAAACACAUUUGAAAGUGUCAUCUAAGUAUUUUAUAAUUUUCAUUUCUGUAAAUUAUUUUCCACUUCCAUUAUUUUCCACUUCCUUUCUACUUACUAAUUGCAAUACAUAAAUCAAGUCUGCCCUUCUUCUAAAAAUAAAAUAAAAUUAACUUACCCUUUAAUUUAAAGAUAGUGGAUUUCAAGAUGCUCUUCUAAUUAUAGGUACAUUUUCUAGAUGUGGUCUUGAGAGGGACACUAACUUCCAUUUUCAUCAUUUGACUUUCUCGUUUCAUUCUCUUAUGUAUCUGUUCUUUAACCUCAUAAAACCUUCUAGUUCCCUUUCAUCCAUUUCUGUCCUCAUUUCUCUUCCCCUCCCCCCAAGUCUGGACCCCAUACUAGAUUUCAGUUUCCUGACAACCUAUUCAGAGGAAUAAUAGGUAUGGUGCUUUCUCCUGUGUCUUUCCCUACUUCAAUAGCUGAUAGAAACCAGAGAGAAACACAGAACUGAGAACAUUGAGGCCAUGAAAAAGUCACAUUUCCUAAUCAACUCCACCCUAAACCCUUACCUUUCUCUUCCAACCACUCAGUGACUGACCCUGCCAUUUCAACUAACUUUGCCUACCUUCUGCCUCAUCAAGAAACUGAAGGCAUCAGCCAUGACUUCUAUUUGUCUUCUAUAAAAACAUAUAAAUCCACAUGUCAUCUUGUCUUUUUUCCUUCCUCUUGGAAUGAGGGAGCCAGGGGUUUUCAUUCAAUACCAUAUUCUCCACUUAAGCCAUCAACUCCUUCCUGCCCACCUCUUCAAAGAUCCUUCUCCACAACAUUCCUUUUCUUUCCAAUAUCUUUUAAUUUUUCAUUCUUUUUGAUUUACCUUUUUGGGCAUAAUAACUCUAUAUCAAAAGAACAUUUCUUUGGGCUGGGACUAUAGCUCAGUGGCAGAGCACUUGCCUAGCAUAUAUGAGUCACGGGGUUUUAUCCUCAACACCACAUAAAAAUAAACAAAUAAAGGCAUUCUGUCCAUUCAUAAUAACAAACAAAAAUUGAAAAAAAAAGAACAUUUUCUUCAUAUCUUUGUAUAUCCCUCAAAUCACUGAAAUUUUUGUGCCAUCAUUAAUAAACAGAAAGUACUAAUACCAACGUGGCUAAUGGUCUUUUCAUGUCAAAUCUGUUUUUCAGGUCUUAUCUUCUUAAAUCCCUUGGUAGUGUUGAUAACUUUAUUACUGUUUUAGACCCUACACUUCUUAGUUAGCCAGGUCGUAGAUUCUCCAAAUGGUGUCCCUCCUCUCCUCAUUGGAUAUUCUGCCUAGAUCACUGUGUCCACCUUCAUGGAUUCGUUUUCAUCCUGUGAUAAGGACUUCUGUUUCUAAACAUCAGGCCCAUUCUUCUGCCUAAAGUUUAAGAUUUAUUAAACAGGCAAAUUUACUUUUUAUAUAUCCAUAGGUACCUCAAACUCCACAUGCAACUCAGCAUCUCCUUCCUCUCCAAGCCAAAUUUUCAAACUGUCUUCAGUGGAAUCAUCAGUCCCUCUGUUCAAAAAAGCUGGAAACAUGCUUGACUAUUUCAUUUCUCUCCAACAGUAAUAAACCCAUACUUAUUUAACCCUUUUCACUAAUGAUUUAAUUUGUCUCCAACUUCUCCACCCAUGCUGAUUCUGUGCUACUAUUGUCUUAGUUCGAUUGGUAAAACAACCUCCUAAAUAACCCACUUUAACUUUGAACUAUCAUGCUAUAUAAAUCAUUCCUCCAUAGGUCUUCCACAUGGAUCAAUGCAGAGCAUAUUCUAAAUGUGUGUCCAUCUCAUGUAUUAAAUCCUUUAAUUAAUAGCAUGGGGGUAGAUAUACUACCCUACAUAUGUGAUAAAAUUAUAUAGAAUGAAAUUCACACCAUACAAUGAGUAUAAGACUAAGAAUUUCUAAAUAAGACUGGUGGAUUUUAUCAAUGUCAUUAUCAUGUAAUGAUAUGUACAAUAGUUUUACAAGAUGCUGCCCUUGGGAAAACUGGCUAAAUGAUACAAGACACCUCUCUGUGUUUUUAUUUAUUAUAACUACAUGCAAAUAUACAGCUAUCUCAAAAAGUUCAUUUAAAAAUCUUUCAAUACAAGUAUUGAAUUAUACAAACACUUUUUAAGAUAGCAUCUGUUUCUACGUUUCUCUGUUGCUCCAUCCUGCAACAUUAUCUGUUCCAAACUUUUGUACCUUACUAACAUAGUCACUUGCCAUUUUCUCACAUUCACCAAACUAUUUUCCAUUUUAGUAUUUUGUUUAUGCUAUUGCUACACAAUGCCCACUCCAUACCUUUGGUUUUUACCUGGCCUGGCUAGUUUCUCCUCAUCAUCUGUUAAUUUCCUUGGUCCUACAGAUAAGGUUAUAUAUUCAAUUUUUAUGUUUUCCCAGUACUGGCUAUACUGUUAACCAUUUUAUCAGAGGCUUGUUUUCCUGCCUUAUUUCUACACUGUGACUUCCCGGAGGUGUGAGACAUUCCUGAUUCACUUUUUAUUUCUAAUAUCCAUUAUGCUCCCUGGAAAAUAAUAGGUGUUCUCUAUAUAUGUAAUUUGAGCAGAUUAAUGUACUGUUUCAGGUAGCUUAGAAAUCAUUAUUAAUAAAUCCAAUAUUAUUAUCUUCUCUUACUAGACCGUAACAUAUAUUUGAAAAUUUAAGAUGAUGAUUAACUGUCUUAGGAUACUAUGACUCUUUAUAAUAUGAGCAAUAAUGAUUAAAAGCUUAGCCAAUUUUGUCCUGGGGUAAAAAUCAGUCCACUGAUCAUUACAGUUAAUCACUACUAAGAUGAUUUGCACAUAAAUAUUCAGAUGUAAAUAUUCAGAUUUGGAGACUGCGUUACCUGAGAAACCUGGUGUUUCACUUCAGAUGUGUGGGGGUGAGAGUUUAAAAAAAAAAUACUUAAGUAAAAAAAUAUGAAGAUCCAGGAGCAAAAUGAAGCAAACAAAAAUGUUAUUAAUUUGCAAAGUGUUCAAUUGCUUGCUUAUCCCUUAGUCUAACAUAGAAUUCUAAACUCCAAUUUAGAAAUACCACCUACACACACACACACUCACACACACACAUCAAAGGAGCUAGUGAUUAAAAAUGAAAGUUUAGGUCCAGAAGUUUGAGUUUAUUGUCCUUGAGUGUGAUGCUAAGAUUUUAGUUAUGAGAGAGAUGAUUAACCUGAAGGUGAAGUUCUCUGAGCUCUUUUCUAUUUUCUGAUUCUACUUCUUACCUGCUGGAGGCAGGAUAAGCAGUUGAGACACUUAUAAAAUGGGUUUAAUGAUAGGUCAGAUUUGCUGUCAAAUUUAAUGAGGGAAUGUUUAUUUUCUUUUUGAAAUCUGCAGAACACAGAUGUUGGAUCGGGGAACGAUAGCACAUAAUAACAUUAUUAAUUAAGAAAGAUGAAUUUGAUAAAAGGCUUGAUUGUCUAGCAUGGGAAGUCUGUCUGAUUUUAUAGCCAAAUGGAUCCACAGUGCUUCCUAAAGAAACAUCAUUAUGCAACUUGAAAAAUGUACUAUAUAUACCUGUGUGAUUUUAUAGACUUCCUUGAUGUUUUGAUACAAUAUGCUUUAAUUUAAAUAUCCUGUAUCAUAAAUGCAGAAAUAUAAUCCUAGCUUCAUUUUUGUCCUUUUAAGCUUUGUAGAAACCCCAGCGCAUUUCUCUUGGAAAGAAAGUUAUUACCGAUCCACCAUGUCCC